CGCGAGAAAGGUGAUAGUUUGGCUAUAGGACUUUACCCGUAUUAGCGUAACUCAAAACAAUUUGCAAGAGUUGAAGGAAAUCUGGGAUUAGUGGAACGAUAAGGUUAAACAACUAUUCUACUCUAAUUAUAGUGAUUUGCCUUAUCUGCUUGAUAUGAAGAUAGACAAGCACCUAUUUCGGCUCUCACCCAGUUUUGGAAUCCUACUUACAGUUGCUUCACAUUUGGGAAGGUCGAUUUGGUACCUAUAAUAGAAGAAUACAUGGCUUUACUUCGGUGUUCGAAGAUUCAAGUAGACAGAGCCUACUCGAGAGUUGUAAAGGUACCGACCUUUUUGAAGAAGCUGAUGAAUAUAAUCGGGAUGAACAAAUAGUGGGUUGGAGCCCGAAUCAAGCAAAAAGGGGAUAACAAGUGCAUUCCCUAAAAGAGCUUGAAUGAUUUAAUUCUAGCACACCCAAAUACGAAGAAGAGGGUUGAUGUCUUUUCUUUGAGUAAAUAAUGCUUAGUUGGAUUCCUUAAAGCUUUAGGGCACGUUGGUGAAGCAGUCACUGAUUUAUUCGACCGUCUUGAUAAGAGGGUUACAACAGUCCUGACGAUUUUGGCAGAAACCUUCAGGUCAUUGAAUGCAUGCCAGAAAGUGGGUGAGGGUAGAUUCAUUGGAUGUGCACAGCUCCUACUCGCAUGGUUCCACAGUCACUUCUGUAAGGUUGAUAGGGUUUUGUAUCGGGUCUUCUCUGAAAACUAUUCACCACUGAAAGAGAUAGUAGCUACACCAAUGAGGGAUGACAUCUUAGAGGAGAAAUGGAUGGCAAUUCUUUAGAAUCUUCAGGAAGAGGACAUCGAGUGGAGAGCUUCUUGGUGCUUCUGGAUGAGAUCUUGUAUCGAUGCAGUGAUUUUAAUUUGGAUCCUCUGCUUGCGAUUUGGAGAGCUGUUGAUUAUGCCCCAUUGCUAGUACUCAGGUAGUAUAGGUCAAGGCAAUUUAUACCCGCAACCCAGGGAAUAGCUGAGUGUAAAUUCUCAUACAAGGGCGAUGGUUACAAAAAGAAUAUUCGAGAGAUGUCCAAUGCAUGGAACCAGACUCGCCGAAUUAAGAGAUUAGCUGUGAGUCCAAUGACAACUCCUGAGCAUAAUGAAUGGUGGUUUAGGAUGAUCAAUGAUAAUAUCCCCAAGCCAAGUCAGGGAAACAGUCAGUCAAUAGAGGAACAUUUGCGGGUUGUCCUUUCUAAGCUAGAAAUCAUAAGACAAUAUUUUGAAAGAAGAAAUACAGAAUUAGAAAAGAAGAUAGAACAAAUGGAAGAAGAAAAGAUGAACUUGAGAUUAGACAUGGAUGUUCAGAAACUCGAGGUCGAGAAAUUAAGAAAAGGAAAAAAUAAAGCUGAGGAGGAUUUUGAUAGCUUGAAGAUAGAUUAUAAGAAGCUGGGACUGUCAAUAAGAACUGCUGGUUUCGGAAAAACUUUAGAGCAGUGGCGUAAAGAGAUUCGAAAAGAAAAGAACAAGGCCGAUAGAUGGGAAAGAAAAUUCCAAGAGGUUCAGACACGAAAUGAGGCUUUAGAGAAGAGUUUGUUAGAGAACCGAAAGGAAAAAGGCAAACUAAAGGAUAGAGUGGCUGAGUUAGAAAGAUCUCUUCGUCAAUAUGGAAAUCAGGAUUCUGCGAUAGAUUUGAGAACGAGCUUAAGCAGGAUUGAAGAAAUGAAAAAAGAAUAGAAGAGUUAGAAACGACAUUGCAAAAUUGUGAGAUCUGGAUCGAGUACUUGGAAGAAAACGAAGAUCGUCAUAAUGAGCAGCUUUACUACUUUCAAAAUCAAGUUAGAAACAGGGAUCAUAUUAUGGAGAAGUCGUAGUUCAGAUUCGAGAGGUAGCUGAUCACCUACAGACUUUGGCAAUGCAGGCCGAUACGCUAAGUGUGAAGUAUGAAUUGAAAUCAGAUCGACGGCAAGAGUUAGCCUCGUUACUUAGGAAGAUUAGAGUUCUGAGUAUUAGGGCAAAGCCUUAUUUGUAGCCCAUUGUAUGUAAAAAAAUUAUUUUCUAGUAAAGUUUUUUAAAUGGAAUUGAAUCAGAAUUGACGCCUUUUUUUCCAUUCAUUUCAUUGCAUUGCAUCAUACGUGUCGAAACCUCUUUUUUUGAAAAAAGACAAUCGUCGACUUAAAAAAAAAUUGGAGUCGCCACCAAUCUUUUAUUAAGGUGUGAUCAGUUCACCUUGAAAACGAUUUUAGGUCUACGAAUUUUGAGAAAAUAGGUUCGGGAGUCAGUUACACACGAGGAAGGGUUAGCACCCUUGUAACGCCCAAAAUCGAUAUCGAACUGAUUGUUUAAUGUCUUGGUGUCAAAAAUUUAAAAAGAUUUUAAAAGAAACUCAAAUGAUGAAAUCUGAAAAGGAUAAUCAAUUGUUUAAGUCAGACGAAGAAAUCGAGACCCAAUACGUUAGAGUACGAUUUCUCAAAAUCCCCAAACUUUGAAUAUCGCCUUUAUUUUAUAAGAAAAUCUUCAUCUCGAGAAAGCAAUAUGUUAUGCCCAAUACGUUAGGACACAACAAGUUAAAUUCCCGAAAAUGAUCUUUACAUUUAUGUGUUUUGAAAAAGCUAUGCUCGAUUAUUUAGGUUUAACAUGGAAAAUUGGAACCCAAUACGUUAGGGCUUAAUCUUCUCGAAAAUCCCAAAUAUUAAGAUCGCAUUAUCUUGAAAGCCUUUAAACAAAAAUGAUUUUAAUGCUUUGAUGAAAUCAAGCACAUUUUUUUAAAAGCAUGAUAAAAUGUUAAUAUACAACAUGAAACACAUACUUUAAUUUAAAUUAUAUAUGUAUAUGUGUUUACAAAAUAUGUAUAUAUAAGUAUGAUACAUAAGUAAAUUUUGAAAAUAUGUAUAUGCAUAUAUUAAAACAUAUAUAAGUAUACAUAUAAAAAAGGAAAAAAAAUGAAAUAUAUAAAACAAAAAAAACUUAUAAUAAUUUCUAAGAAAAUAUGUAUGUAUAUAUAUAUGUAUGUGAAAAUUAUGAAAAUAAGAUAAAAAAUAAAAGUAUGUAUAUGUGUAUAUAUUUACAAAAAUAAAAAAUGUAUUAGUAUAUAUAUUGGUAAAUCAUGAAAAUAUGUAUAUGUAUAUAUUUAAAAUAUGUAUAUAUAUAAGUAUAAUAUGUACAUAACAAAUGACAUAUGCAAAAAAAAAAACAAAUAUAUAUAUUUAUAAAAAUUUAGAGUAAAUAAAAAAUGUACGUAUAUACAUAUUAUAAGAAUGUAUGCAUAAGUACAUGGAUUAUGAAAUAUAAAAGAUGUAUAUGUAUUAUAAAAUGUCAAUGCAUAUAUAUACAAGUAUAAGAAAGUUAUGAAAAUAAAAUAAUAAUAAAUAUAUAUAAAAUAUGUACAUGUAUUUACAAAAAAAAAGUAUAAGUAUAAUAUAUUAGUAAAAUAUGAAAAUAUGAAUAUAAAAAAAUAUCCAGAAGAUAUAUUUAUAACAAUUUUGAAUAGUGUAUGAGUAUUUAUAUAUAUUAUAAAAAAUGCAUAUAUAUUAUAAAAAAAAUAUGCGUGUGUAUAGAAAUAAUAAUGAUAAUAAUAAUAAUAAUAAUAAUAAUAAUAAUAAUAAUAUAAUGAUGCAAAAACAAUAUUAAUAAUAUAAAAAAAACUAAAAAAAAACUUAAAACGAUAUAUCAAGGAUUAAUUUGAAAAUAAAUGGAGUUUAAGGGGCUGAAUUUAAAGAAAACACAACAAGGGACCAAAUCCCAAUGUGCGACACAAAAGGAGGACCCAAAGGGAAAUAUCCCCACACUGGUACAACAACGUCAUUUUAGCGAGACCCAUGCACAUGGUCUACGGGCCGAAUUGAAACAGGAAAGAAAUUUUGUGGCAAAAAUUAAAUAUAAAAAUUAAACUAUAUUGAGAACGCUACGAAAGUGGAGGGACUAAUUGCGCAAAUACCCCCACUAACCAAAACACACGGAUCCUUAGGUGGGUCGGGUCACGCAUGCGGGUAUGGCCCUAUACGGUGCCGUUUUGGGGCCACUGAAAUAGGACCUAAACGACGCCGUUUUGCAACCGUUAUAAAACAAAAAUUUCCUUAAAAAAUUCAUUUUCCCCUUUUUUACAAAAGAUAGCAGAGAAACCCUUUGGUAGGGUUUCUUUUUCCCAUGCCGCCGUCGCCAACCAAGGCCCUCCCAUGGCCUCAGCUGAUGUCUCGGUCUCCGAUCGCAACGGAGAAGGGUACACCGCGAUGACACCAGGUAAUAUUUUCUCUUUCUUUUAAGAAAAACAGAGAAAAAGAAUCCAGGACUUGAAAAAGAAAUCGAAAAGAAAAAUUUUAAAACCUUUCAAAAUCCCAUUUCCUUUGAAAAUCUUCUCCUUUUAUUACUGUUUAUAAAAAUAAAAGAUAAAUAGAACAAGUAAUAAUAACGGAGAUGCAAUUUCACCUUUAAUAUUUUCUCUUUUACUUUAUUUCGUCCCUCUUUCUUCCCUGUUUUCAAAUACAAAAGCGGCCUUUAUAGCCCGAAACAUAUUGUUAUUUUACACAUUUUUUCUCUGCUGGACUCUUCUAUUCCGUAUUUGCAGGUGUACGUGAGGGAACAACGCGCGUGGAGGAGGCCGGUUCCGAAUCGUGCGUCACCUGGAGUCCACUGGAGGUGCUGAGCAAUAUGCGGUUAGGGUUGCUAUUUCCAAACAUUUGCUUUGAGCCAUACUGAAAUCGGGCUAGGGUAAAACCUAGGUUUUGGGCCUGUAAUUGGGUAGUUAAGUUGAAGAUAUUGGGCCGUGUAAAUGGACCUUUAAAUGUUGGACUCUUUAUUUGUUUUGUUUUUACUUUCUGUUUUGGAUUAUUAUUUCUGCAUGCGGGCCCAGGAAAUAAUUGGUAUUACAGUUGCCCCUCUUUGCUCGUUAUCGUGUAACGAGAAUGGAGCAAAGACUUAAAGAAAACCAAUUUUGUCUGGUCUUGCCAAGUCUUGACCUUCUUCUUCCAGUAACCCUACAUCUUUAGAGGUACAGGAAUUGGUGCUUCAAUCUACCCCACUGCAAUGUCAGGGAGAUAGGAUUCGUACGUUGUAGCUUCUCAAAACAACAAAAUUUGCUAUCUUUAAUCCGUUGCACUGUAACUUCAGGGAAAUAAGACUCAUAGCUUCAACUUGUUCUGCUACAACCUAAAGAUAAAUCUGAUGCGAUCUACUCUACUGUAACUUCAGAGAGAUGAGUUUUGUGAUUUUAAUCCAUUCCAUUGCAACUUCAAGGAGAUAGGACUGGUUACUUCUUUCUGCUCCACUGCUACUUCAGGGAGAUAAGACUUGUAUCUUCCAUCUACUUCACUGUCGAUACAGGAAGACAAGACCUACCAUUUUCAACCUACUCCACUACUGUACAGGGAGAUAAGGCUGCUAUCCUCGAUCUACUUCGCUACCAAUAUAGGAAGAUAAGAUCUGCUGUCUUUGAUCUACUUCACUGCCAAUACAGGAAAACAAGAUAUGUUAUCUUCGAUCUACUUCGCUACCAAUAUAGGAAGACAAGUCUGCUAUUUUUGAUCUACUUCGCUACUAGUAUAGGAAGACAAGAUCUGUUAUCUUCGAUCUACUUCGCUACCAAUAUAGGAAGACAAGAUCUGCUAUCUUUGAUCUACUUCGCUGCCGAUACAGGAAGAAAAGAUCUGUUAUCUUCGAUCUACUUUGCUACCAAUAUAGGAAGACAAGAUCUGCUAUCUUUGAUCUACUUCACUGCCAAUAUAGGAAGAAAAGAACUAUUAUCUUCGAUCUACUUUGCUACCAAUAUAGGAAGACAAGAUCUGCUAUCUUUGAUCUACUUUGUUACCAAUACAGGAAGACAAGAUCUGCUGUUUUCAACCUGCUCCACUGCUGCUCAGGGAGAUAAGGCUUUAUGAUUUCACCGAUCCGUUCUCUGGGAACAUGACCUGUAUGAUUUAUUUCAUGAACCUAAUCAUACCUAAUGAUUAGGAUGUCGUGAUCAAAAUGAAUCAAAUGCUCCUAACUAGAUGUGUAUGAAUGACAUUUGAAUGCAGUGUCAUGAAAAUGAUUCAUUAAUGUUGAAGUUGUUAUUGCUCAUUAACCAUUAAGGCUUCCUUUGUGACAACAAUGCUUCGACAAAACUCGAAAAAUUCUUAAUCUGGGCUUUUCCUUCCUAGAUAUCUCCAACCUUUUAACUCGGUGAAGUCUAAACAAUAGUCUUGUUUCAGGUUCCUCUAUUAUUUAGAAAUUUCUAGAUUAAUAUGAAAAACUUCCCUUGCGAAAGUUUAUUGGUCCAUUAAUCAUUAUUCUAAUGCAACAUGCUUACGAAAAUAUCAUAACGAUGGAUAAAACAAAAUUGAUUUGAGAGCAUAACUCGUAAGAGGGAUUGACUGGGAACACUUAUAUUGAAAAAGAAUGAAGUGUUCUAAAACAAAAAAUUUAAUAUAAAUACUAUGCAUAGGUGCCCUAAAUAUCUCCGCUUGAAUUUCUCUAAACAACUUUCUGAAGACCAUUUUGAGUUCAACACGUGUUUAGGUGAUCUACAGUACUUUGUUGAUGUCUCAAGAUGUCGCCUAUUCCUUCAUGCUGGUUCAGGUAUAGCAAGAUUAUCACAUGCCGCAAUCAAAAUUUGAGUCACCCUUUUCGGGUUUUCAACUCAAAUCCCCUUUGGUCUCAAGGAGCCCUUUGCAGGUUUUCACCUUAGCCUCUCCUUUUUUUUAUUUUUUUUGAACUCAAAGCGCCUUUUGCGGGUUUUCACCUUGGUUCCUUCUCCUUCUUAAGUAAAGUAUUUCUUGACUGAAACUAAAGUUAUUGGAUUAGGCAAGUUUAUUUCAUCCAUCUUCGCCAGAAUCAAGGCUCCCUCAGAAAAGACCUUUUUUACAACAUAAGGUCCUUCCCAAUUUGGCAUCCAUUUACCUCUAAAAUCCUUUUGUAGAGGAAGAAUUUUUUUCAACACCAGGUCCCCCUUGUGAAAUUCUCUGGGACGGACCCUUUUGUUGUAGGCUCGCAUCAUUUUUUUUGCUACAUUUGACCAUGCUGAAUAACCUUUAGGCCUUUUCCAUCUAUUAAGUUCAACUGAUCGUAUCGAGAUUGGACCCAUUCUGCUUCAUCCAACUUUAGCUCAGCCAACACCCAGAGAGAAGGGAUUUCAACUUCAAUGGGUAAAACUGCCUCCAUACCGUAAACCAAGGAGAAAGGCGUUGCCCUGGUGGAAGUUCUGAUUGAUGUUCGAUAAGCAAAGAGGGAAAAUGGCAAUUUCUCAUGCCAACCAGUCCUUGUAAGUCUCUGUCAUUUUCCCACAAUUUUCUUGAUGUUUUUAUUGGCCGCUUCCACUGCACCAUUCAUUUUUGGGCGAUACGGCGACGAAUUGUGAUGUUUGAUCUUGAACUGACUAUAGACCUCCGCUAUUGAGCUGUUGUUCAAAUUCAACGCAUUGUCAGCUAUGAUCCUUUCAGUCAUUCCAUAUCGACAUAUGAUCUCUCUUUUCAAGAACUUACUGACUGCUGACUUUGUGACAUUAGCAUACGAAGCAUCUUCCACCCAUUUAGUGAAGUAGUCAAUAACUAUAAAUAUGAAAUGAUGCCCAUUUGAGGCCUUCGGUGAUAUUGACCUGAUAACAUCCAUACCCCAUAUGGAGAAAGGCCAUGGAGAAGUCAUAAAAUGAAUAGGUGAAGGAGGUGCAUGCAUUUUAUCAUCAUAAAUUUGACAUUUAUGCAUUUCUUAGCAUAAUUGAUGCAAUCCCCUUCUAUGGUGGACCAGUAAUACUCGAAUCUCAUAAAUUGUCUAGCCAUUGUGAACCCACUGGCAUGCGUUCCGUAAAUACCCUCAUAGGCCUCCUCCAAGAUUUUAUUAGCUUCCACAGCGUUCACACAUCUUAAUAGUACCUGAUCCUUUCCUCUCUUAUAUAAGAUCUCCCCAUCUAAGACGUAAUCAAUGGCUAGUCUUCUUAGAGUCCUCUUAUCAUUCUCAGUUGCCUAGUCAGGAUACUCACAAUUCUUUACAUAUCGUAAUAUAUCUUGAUACCAAGGACUAUCAUUCAUUUCUCCCUCUUUGAUAUUAUAACAAUGAGCCGGGCUUUCAUAGAUGCUCAUCUGGAUAGGCUUCAUGUCCUCUUGUCGGUUCACUUUGAUCAAGGAGGCUAGAGUAGCUAAUACGUCAGCCAUCUGGUUCUCGUCUCGUGGGAGAUAGCAAAAAGUAAUGUCCUCAAACUCUUUAAUCAAUUCGAGGACCAACUUUCGAUAACUGACUAAUUUGGGAUCUCUCAUUUCCCAUUCACCUUUAAGCUAGUAUAUCACCAAUGUCGAAUCUCCACAGACCUCUAGUACUUUGAUUUCACGCUCUAUAGCUGCACGAAUGCCCAUGAUGCACGCUUUGUAUUCUACCAUGUUGUUUGUACAAUCAAAAUUUAGGGUUUCAAGUGAAAGGAUAAUGAUCACCAUUCAGGGAUACUAAGACUGCCCCAAUUCCAUUGCCCACAGCGUUCGAGGCUCCAUCAAAGUUUAGCUUCCAAUUGUGACCUUCUUGGGAAUUUUCUCCAAUUGUUGCUACAUACAUCAAGUCCUCAUUUGGGAAAUCAAAACUCAAUGGCUCGUAAUCCUCCAAAGCUAUUGCACUCCCUUUCAUAGCCUUUUGACUCACAUAGACUUUAUCAAAUUCAGAAAGUAAGAUCUACCAUCAGGCCAUCCUUCUAUUCAAAGAAGUCGACUCCAUCAUAUACUUUAAAGGGUCUAACUUUGAAAUUAGCCAAGUCGUAUGGUAUAACAUGUACUGCCUUAAUCUUCGAGUUGUCCAAACCAGGGCACAACACAACUUCUCAACAGGCGAGUAUCUCAUUUCACAAUCAGUGAAUUUCUUAUUGAGAUAAUAUAUUGCCCUUUCUUUCCUUCUUGUUUCAUCAUGUUGACCUAGCACACACCCCAUGGAAUUAUCAAACACUGUUAGAUACAAUAUCAGCGGCCUAUCCGGGCUAGGUGGUGACAGCACUGGAGUAUUAGACAAGUACUGUUUUAUCUUGUUAAAAGCUUCCUCGCAUUCUUCAUCUCAUGUACCAGGAUUAUGUUUCUUCAGAAGAUGGAAUAUGGGGUCACAUUUCUCAGUUAAUUGUGAAAUGAACCUAGCAAUGUAAUUCAGUCUUCCUAAGAAACCUCGAACUUAUUUCUAAGUGCGAGGUGGAGGUAAAUCUCGUAUUACCUUGACUUUGUCUGGGUCAAUCUCGAUUCCCUUUUCACUGACUAUGAAGCCUAGCAACUUUCCUGACCUGGCCCCAAAAGUGCAUUUCGCUGGAUUAAGCUUGAGCUGGAACUUUCUCAAUAUUAAGAAUAAUGUUCUUAGGACUUGCACAUGUUCCUCAUCCGUUCUAGAUUUUACAAUCAUAUCGUCAACAUAAACCUCGAUUUCUUUGUGCAUCAUGUCAUGGAACAAGGCUACCAUGGCUCUUUGGUAUGUUGCUUCUGUAUUCUUUAAUCCGAACGGCAUCACCUUAUAGAAAAACAUUCCCCAUAACAUAAUGAACGUAGUCUUUCUUAUAUCUUCGGGAUGCAUCUUUAUCUGAUUGUAUCCAGAAAAACCAUCCAUGAAGGAAAACAAUGAAUAGCCUGCCAUAUUAUCUACCAAUGUGUCAAUGUGAGGCAAUGGAAAAUUGUCUUUUGGACUAGCAUUGUUCAAAUCCCUAUAAUCCACACACAUUCGUACUUUCCCAUUUUUUUAGGAACUGGUACAAUGUUGGCCACCCACUCAGAAUACUUGACCUCUUGUAAAAAACCGGUAUCAAACUGCUUUUUGACCUCCUCCUUUAUUUUUAACACGACAUCAGGCCUCAUCCUCCUGAGCUUCUGAUGUACUGGCUUGCAAUCCUCUCUUAUAGGAAGACGGUGGACUACAAUGUCAGUACUUAACCUAGGCAUAUCUUGGUAUGACCAUACAAAGACAUCUUUGAAUUCUUGGAGUAAUCCAAUGAGGUAUUGUCUUAUCUUUGCAAAAAUAUCAGAUCCGAUCUUCACUUCUUUUUCUUCCUCCAAGUUUACAGUUUCUAUUGAUUCCUUGUGAGAUAGGAUUUGCUUCUCCGCCCGUUCUACCAUCCGCAGCAAGUCUGGAGAUAAACCACAGUCUUCGCCAUCUUCGAAAUCAUGCGAUCCCUCUAAACACAUGUCUCGUUCAAAAGGAGAUUCUGAGUUUGUAAGAGCGACACUCAUAUCAUUGAUAUCGAGGGACCUGUUAUAGGUAUGAAAAAUAAUAUGGAUUCAGGAAUAAUUAUUUGUGUAAUAUGGUCAUUAAUGAGAUGCAAGAAUAAUUUGAAAAAAAAAAUUCAAAACAACUGCUUAUAUGGAAAGAAAGAAAGAAAAUUUGCUCAAAAAUUAUUGCAAAGAUGUACUUUAUUAAAAUAACGAUGUUUGGACAUGAGCCUAUUUCACAAAGGAAUCCUUAUCGCUUCUAGGCUAAAAGCAAUAAGGGUGUUCGGAACAUUACUCUAAGGAAGUCCUAAAAGCUACAGGUAUUUCUUUUGCACUCCAAUUGUUUAGCACACCUCCUGAUUCAUAAUGGAGGAUAUCCAAGAAAGUUCCUCCCUCAGUUGCCUCUUCACAAAUGGCAUGAAUACUUCCCAACUCCUCGUUAAUACUUCCACCUCUUGGCACUCCUUGAUAAAUAAAUCCUCCCGAUACAAAAGUUUUGGAUAGGUGAGGAAAGGUCAUAGGUUCCCAUUUAACUUCAUCUCCUGUCAAACGAGCCCUUCUUCUUUCUCGCUUCUUUUCUUACUCCAUCCUCCUUUGCUUAAUAUCUGGCUUGUAACCUAAGCCAAAACGAUAAUGCUUGUCCUUCAACACUCGGGCUUCAACUCGACCCUGAAGAUAUCUCCCCAAUCCUUUCCUUGGCAAGACUCCUUUUCCCACUGUAAACUGUAGACCCAUCUUUGUGGUCUUUGAUAUCCUCGGCAUCGGGAUCUUGUAACACCCCGAACCCGAGGCCGUCGCCGGAGUCGAACACGAGGUGUUAACAGACUUCAAACCACUUAAAAAAAAAAUUUCCCAGACAAGCUGCCAGUCUGCGUACUAGUCGAUUAAAAAAAAUCAUAUCUUGAGUUCUGAAACUCGAAAUCCAGUUCCGUAAAUUUUCCCUGAAACUAGACUCAUAUGCCCAUCUACAUAUUUUUUUCUAGAAUUUUUGGUCAGGCCAAUUAGUACAGUUUAUUAGUCAAAGUCUCCCAUGUUACAGGGAUCGACUACACUGACCUUUGUGCAUUACGACUUGGAUAUCUCCCUGCACAGAGCUUCAAUACUGAUGCCGUUUGUUUCUAUAGAAACUAGACUCAGAGAGGAAUCUAUAAAUAUAUGGAAUGACUCCUAAUUAUCUCUGGUUAAUUUAUAAUGAAUUUCCAAAGUCGGAACAGGGAAUCCAGAAACCGUUCUGGCCCUGUCUCACGAGAACCUAAAUAUCUCUUAACAUAUUGUCCAUAUGAUCAUUUCGUUACUUUCCUAUGAAAAUAGAUUCAUCAAGGUUCGUUUACAUAAUUUAUUCACUAUUUAAUUCCAAUCCUACUAUUUUUAGUGAUUUUCAAAAUCUACAUCACUACUGCUGCCAGCAUCUGCCUUUAAGGUAGACUUUACCUAUUUCAUAGUUUCCAUGAUUCAACUAGCCCUUUUAGCAUAAAUAGCACAAAUCAUGAUAGCGAUUAACCAUUCCAUACCAAAUGAUUAUAACAUUAUGCUCAAACAUAUAUAAGCCAUUUUCGCAUGGCUAUAUACAUUAACCAAACUAUUCUUCCGCCACUAGUCUAUUUUAUACAUGCCAUAAGACAAUCCGAAACAUAGCAGUACCAAACAGUGGAUAGUGAUAGUGUGACUAGUUGCUGACGAUCCCCGAGCCUGUAGCUUCACAAUGAGAUCUAUAAAACAGAGGAAACAGAGUAAACGGAGUAAGCAUUACAAUGCUUAGUAAGUUUUAAGCAGUGUCAACAGAUAACACUCAAAUUAUAACAUAGUUGUUCGUAUUUUUAUUUCACUCUUCCUUCGGGCAUACCAUCCCUUUACCGAAUCUGCACAUCUCAUCAUAUACAAUAGGCAGAUAAACUUUCACAUAAAAGUGAGCUCAUGUGACAUAGAUAUAUCGUAUGAUUUCACAUCACCUCUCACACUGAUCCGAUGUCACAUAAUCAUAGGAAUAGUCUCAUAGAUUGCUUUCGUAUGCAUCACAUAACUACUUUAUGAUUUAGUGCAAAUCAAGCUCACAUAUAAACUUGAAGUACAUACCUGUUUAACCUUUCACAUUGAAUAUAUUUAUAAGCAAUUCUUAUUACGAAGUCUUACCCGGACAUAAUCUCCACACGAAGUUAUCGGGUCUUACCCGGACAAAAUCCCCACACGUAGUCAUCGGGUCUUUAGAGCUCGGAUAUAGUACAAGCACGAAGCUUAAGGACAUUAAUCAGUGAUAAUAUUCUCGCAUAAAGCCUGCGGGGUUUUAACCCGGAUAUAGUACUGACACAAAUGCCUUACGGGACUUAUCACAUUUAUGCACUUUCACAUCCAUUACGUUGGCCAGUCGGCCUUGUCACGUAUAUACACUUUCACAUUCAUCACAUCGGCCAUUAGGCCUUAUCACAUAGAUACACUUUCACAUUCAUCACAUCGGCUAUUAGGCCUUAUCACACAUAUACACUUUCACAUUCAUCACGUCGGCUAUUAGGCCUUAUCACACAUAUACACUUUCACAUUCAUCACAUCGGCUAUUAGGCCUUAUCACACAUAUACACUUUCACAUUCAUCACAUCGGCCAUUAGGCCCUAUCACAUAUAUAUACACUUUCACAUUCAUCACAUCGGCCAUUAGGCCUUAUCACAUAUAUAUACACUUUCACAUUCAUCACAUCGGCCAUUAGGCCUUAUCUUUCACAUUCAUCACAUCGGCCAUUAGGCCUUAUCACAUAUAUAUACACUUUCACAUUCAUCACAUCAGCCAUUAGGCCUUAUCAUCAUUUCAUAUUCGAAUACUCAUAAACUUACAAUAUCACGAUUUAGAAUUCAAGUAUGGGUUUAAUCAGUAGCUUAUGAGCAACUAAAACAAGUUUAUCAAGGUUCACAACAUAAUCUCAAAUUCAGCACAAGCUGUUUUUCCUGAGCAAUAGUCACUAAAUUAUUUAUAACUGGAGCUACAAAACUCCAAAUCACUUUCCGUUAAUUUUUCCUGAAUAUAGACUCAUAUAUCUUCCAUCCAUAACAUUUCCAGAAUUUUAUGUUUGGCCAAUCAAUACCAGAUUUUUCUUAAAGUUUCCCCUGUUUCACUGUUUGACUAAUCUGACCACUCUUCACUACGAAUCAAAUUUCUCAUUUUACAGAAUUCAAAAUAUGUUGUAUUUCAUUUCAUUUGAAACUAGACUCAUUAAGGAGUCUAAGUAUAUAAAUUUCAUCUUAUAACCAUUUUUGUACAAUUUAUAAUGAUUUUCUAAAAACAGAACAGAGGAUUACAGUGUCAUUCUGCGCUGUCUCACACAACUUUGAGUAUCUCAUUAUCGGAAAUUCCUUUGCUUACACGGUUUCUUUUAUAAGAAACUAGACUUAUUAAGCUUUAAUUUCAUGUCUCAUUCAGCCUCUAAUUCAAAUCCAUAAAUUUAUGGUGAUUUUCUAAAGUCACGUUACUGCUGCUGUCCUAAGCAGACUAUUUCAAAUUACCCUUGAAUUCCCAAGCUCAAACACUUAAGAACUUACCAUUUGAGCUUAGAACAUAUCAUGGCCACAUCAUAUCUUAUUAAAUCAACUCAUCAUGUCCCUUUAUAAUUGAAUUUACUCAACGUUUAAUCACUUAAAACUUACCUCAGAAGUUUCCGAACGAUUACGACGGCUCUUCGAUCACUUUUUUCCUUUCCCUUAUCCAACUUGAUCCUCUAGGCUCUUGAGCUAAAUCAAACAAUUUACUUCCCAAAUUAAACAUAGUCAUACGACAUCCAUAUACAUUUUAUACUAGCCGAAAUGUACCAUCAAGAUAUACUUUACUCAAAUAAUUUACCUUGGCCGAUCAUGUAUAAUGUUUUGUAGCUUAAUAAAUUUAACAUACAUUAUGUAUUCAUAACAUUUGUGCAGCCAAUUAUGCAUGGUCAUACACACACAAUAAAAAAUAAAUACUAAAUUUUCAUAUCCUUUAUGCCCUAAGCCGAAUACACUUGUCAUGUUCACCUACAUUUUUCAAGUACAACAUUCUCAUAUUCGGCAUUAGUAUCAAGCAUAAUAGCCAAUUCUUCCUACCAUUUCCAAAACCAAUUCAUCAAUGCAAUCAUACCAUUACAAAUCAACUUAAAAUAACCAUAUCUAAUAAUCAAAUACCUAUAGCAUUGCACAUUUCUCACAUAGCAAAUACAACUAAAUUCAUUAUUAAUAUAUAUAUCUAAACACUUAACUACAAGAUUUAAUCACCAUUAUCAAAUCAUAAAACAGCUUAUAACCAUCAUCUAUAUUUACUUCCCAUAAACCGAAAUAACCAUUUAAUCAAGCCAAAUCUCAAGACCAUUCCAUCACACAAAUUAUACCAUAAAUCAUACUUACAAUUUAAGUUAAUGCAUGACCGAAAAUCACCAUUAUUAACAUCGUUAUCAAACUAAAACCAAAACACAUCUAUCAUCCGUAUACCAAACUUACCAAAACAAACUACUAUGAGUUUCAAGCUUAUUGACCGAAUCUCAAACCUCAAAAUUCUAAGUUUAAUCUAUGGAUAAGUAGAGUUUGAACUAAUCAUCUCAAACAUGCAUAGAUUUUCAAGAAUCAUUCAAUACAUACCUCAUUCUAGCCAUCUUCUAAGCCAAAAAUCAAAGCAACCAAACUUUCUUCUCUCUCCCUUUAGGCUACGGCAAUGGAGGAAAGGAUGAACAACUUUGGUUUCUCCUCCCACUAAUUAUUAUCUAACAUCUUUCUUUUUCUUUUUUUUUCUAGUGCUUAUUUCCUAUUAUAAAACCAUGUAGUCAUUAUAAUAUUAAUACAAAAUGCAUAUGCUUUGUAUCCCAUACCCUCAUGGCCGGCCACUUCCUCUAAAGUGGGGAAUUUGACAUGCAAACCCAUCAUUUCACAACAUGCAUUAUUAGGCCACUUUACAUUUGCCUAGCACAUUUCCAAAUUUUCUCACAUAAGUCCUAUUUAAUAAAAUUCACUUACAAUUAACAAAAUUCAAACAUGCAAUUUUCACACAUGCAUAUAUACAUAUAAUAAGCAUCAAAUAUGACAGCUAAUUAUUUUUAUGACUCGGUUUAGCGGUCCCGAAACCACUUCCCGACUAGGGUCAAUUUUGGGCUGUCACAGAUCUUGUUUCCCUCAGUGAUAAAUGUAGCAUUCACAAACUCUAAAGAUCGGAAAAAACAUUCACCUGCAUCAUCACUUGUUUCCAAAUACGGUGCAUCAUUAGCUACAGCUGCAAUGAUAUCCUCUUCAGCGUUUAUAGUCACUAACCGACCAUCCGAUAUCAGUUUCAGCUUUUGAUGUAAUGAUAAAGGUACGACCCCUGCUGAAUGUAUCCAUGGCCUUUCUAAUAAACAAUUGUAAGAAGGCUUAAUGUCCAUCACCAGGAAGUCCAUCUCAUAGAUAGUUGGGCCAAUUAAUAAGGGUAUGUCAAUUCUUCCCAUGACCCUCCUUUUAGUGCCGUCAAAUGCUCUCACUACAUUCUGGCACGACUUAAUAUGCGAACCAUCCACAGGUAGCCUAUUGAGUGUGGACAGGGGCAAUACAUUCAAUGCCGAUCCGUUAUCUACCAGAACUCCCAGUAAUGUGUACCCUUUGCACCUGGUAGUGAUGUGCAAAGCUCUAGUAGACCCCAUACCCCCAGGUGGUAUUUCGUCAUCGUUGAAAAAGAUGAAGUUAUCAUCGCUUAUAUUGCUAACCAGCCGAUCUAAUUUGGUGACAGAGAUAUCAUUGGCCACAUAGGUUUGGUUUAGUACUUUCAACAGUGCAUUUCGAUUCCCCUCUGAGCUCAACAGUAAAGCUAGCACAGAUAUGUGAGCUGGUUGUUUGUGUAAUUGUUCCACAACACUGUACUCGCUAUGCUUCAAAAAUUUCAGGAACUCCCUAGCUUACUAUUCUUUUAUUGGCUCAUUGACCAGCAGUUUAGGUUUGACUGCAUUUUUCUUCUUUUCGAUCAAAGUUUCUCCUUUUGCUGGCUUUAUUCAGGCAUUUAUCAAAUUGUAGCGCUUUCCACUACGAGUAUAGAAGCCCACCUCUCGAUCCUCUUUUGAAAUAUUGGUUACAUCCUCCUUCCCUAGAGUUGUCACAUUGUAAUCAUAAUUCCAGGGAACCUUCUUGUUAUCCUUAUAAGCAAAUACAGACAGUUUUUGAAUGAUGACAUUUGGUGUUAUCCUUGCUCCAACCUCAUUAUUCUUAGGUCACGAAAUGAUGACCAUAAGGUAGUUAGCUUUUGGAACUUCCAACGCUGACUCUGAUGCGCAUAUAUGUCCCUCCUUCUUAAUUUCUUCACAGAAUUCUAUCUCUUUAUUAUCCAUCAUACAUUGAACCAUGGUUCUGAACUCCACACACUCUUGGACUUCAUGCCCCAUUUCACGGUGGAACUCACAGUAGUUCCCUCUCUUCUCGUAACUUCCUUCCGAAAUGACUAAUCCCCUUUUCACCAUCUCCUUCCAGACCCAACUCAAAGGAGUUUUUACGUCUGCAAUGUCUGCCUUAAUUCUUCUAUUUUCACUGAUCAUAUUUACCCCACUAUCAGUAUGAUUUGGUAAUGGAUUUUCUUCACUGGUUGAAUCAUCAAGUUUGACAACGCUAAUACUGAUGAGCCUUUCAAUCAACUUCUUAAAGGUAGUACAAUUUUCUAUAGAAUGCCCUGUAAUUCUCGCAUGAUAAUCGUAUUGUGCAUUCGCGUCGUACCAUUUAGGGUAUGAGGGCUACAAGGGGUUUAAAUAUAAAGGGGAAAUAACGUGUGCAUUAAAUAAACUUUGAUAUAGCUCCUUAUACGACACUGGAAUUGGCGUGAACUGGGGCCUCUCAGUGUUUUGUCUCGUGCUAGCUUCUUGUCUUGAUGAACCUUACUGGUUAGCAACCACAUUUCUUGGUUGAUUCACCGUUAUUGACUUCGAGUAACCCUUGUUAUAUAUACUCUUGUUGUUUACAUCGUUCUCCUUCUUCUUCGAGGUUGAUCUUCUGUUGCUCUCUCCAGCAUCAAUCUUCCCACUCCUUAUGGCAUUUUCAAUCAUCCCACCAUUCAUGACUAUGUUAGGAAGGAUUUUUGUGGAACUCCCUAACAUAUGUGUAAUGAACGGUGCUUUCAGUGUGUUAAUGAAUAGCAUUGUCAUUUCUUUUUCCAAGAGCGGUGACUGAACUUGGAUAGUGACUUCCCUCCACCUUUGUGCAUAUUGCCUAAAACUUUCGUUUGACUUAUUUUCCAUAUUUUGAAGGGUAAUUCUAUCAGGAACCAUAUCUGUUACAUGACUAUACUAUUUCAUGAACGCUUGUGCUAAAUCCCUCAAUGAACCAAUCAUGGUACGGCUCAAUUGAUUGUACCAUUUAGAUGCUGCUCUAGCGAGGCUAUCUUAGAAACAAUGUAUUAGUAGCUGGUAAUUGUUAACAUAUCCAGCCAUUCACCUACAGAACAUGGUGAUAUGAGCUUCUGGGCAACUUGUCCCAUUGUACUUUUCGAAUUCUGGCAUCUUAAACUUAUGAGGGAGUACCAAAUUCGGGUCUAAACUCAACUCUUUAGCGUCAAUCCCACUAUAGUUUUUAGUGAUUCCCAUUGCCUUAAACUUCUCUUCGAUCCAUUUGUAUAUUUCUUCUAACUACUUUGGUAACUCUUCUUUUACUUUUCCUUUCCAUCCACUUCAUCGAAGUCAGGAAUGGCAGAGUUAGUAGGAUGGUUUUCAGGGUUAGAGCCCGAUCCAGCCUGAAAGCUUGAAGCACCGGCCUAGAACUGCCGAGGCUUGAUUGUGAUAGUAGAUUUGGUGCGAGUAUACUUCAGCUUAGGUUCACACAUGUGGAGGAGUAAAGCCUGGAGGAUAGAGAGGUUCAUCAUCGUUACCCUCUUCGACAUUAGCCAUAGGGCCCUUUCCCUUAUCUCCUCCCCCGGUCAACAGUUGGGUCAACUUCGCCAUCAUAUCCUUUUGGGAUUCCAACAUCUUCUCUGACAUAUCCUAUUGCAUUUUGUCUAAUCGCUCCUGCACUUGCAGCUGGAGUCGGUCUUGCAUUUGCUUCUGGUACUGUUCAAGCUUUUCCAAUCUCUGAUCCAUGUCUUUAGUCUUUGCUCAAGUGCCGUAACGGUGUUUGGUUGGUUGGUUGGUUUCUAGGUUAACUGAGCAAUGGUUUUAAUUAAUUAGGAUCAUUUAAUGGUAUUUAAUGCAUAUGAUGCGAUGCAUGAGAUGAAUGCAAGAAAAGCGUUAGUUCUGGUUCAAUUCCACUUAGAAAACUUUACUAGAGAAAAAAAGCUUUACAUAAACUGGCUAUAAAUAAGGUUUUGCCCUAAUACUUAGAACUUUAAUCUCCCUAACUAACUAGGCCAACUUCUGCCCCCGAUCUGAUUCUGAUUCAUACUUCACACUUAGUAUAUCAGUUUGUAUUGCAAAAUUUUACGGGUGCUCAGCUACCUCUUCAAUCUGAACCACAGCUUCUCCCAUAAUAUGAUCCCUUUUUGUAACCUGAUCUUGGAAAUAAUGAAGCUGUUUACUUUGAUGAUCUUCAUUUGCUUCCAAAUAUUCGAUCUUGGCUUCACACUUUUGUAAUACCAUUUCUAAUUCUUCUACUGUUCUUUUCAUUUGCUCAAUCCUACCGAAGCUUGCUUUCAGCUCCACCACAGAAUUACGAUUUCGAUAUUGAUGAAUAGUUUUCUCAAGUUCUGCCACUCUAGCUUUUAGCUCAUCCCUUUCAUUUUGGCUUUCUGACAAACUCUUCUCAAGGGACCUAUUUUGCAUUUGGGCCUCUUGAAAUUUCCUUUCCCAUCUACCAGCCUUGAUCUUUUCUUAUUGAAUUUCUUGACACCACUGCUCUGAAGUUUUCCCCAACCCAGCAGUUCUCACUGACAGGCGUAGUUUCUUAUAAUCCAUCUUCAAGCUAUUCAAAUCUUCCUCAGCUUUAUGCUUUUCUUUUCUUAGUUUUUUGGUUUUUAGCUUCUGAACAUCCAUGUCCAAUUUCAAAUUCAUCUUCUCCUCUUCCAUUUGUUCUAUCUUCUUUUUGAGCUCCAAAUUUCUUCUUUCAAAAUCCUACCUUAUAACUUCUAGCUCAGAAGGGACAACUCGUGCAUGCUUUCCUGCUGGUUGAUUGUCUCCCUGACUUGCCACAGGUAUAUUAUCAUUGAUCCUUCUGCCCAGCCACUCGAUAUAUUUAGGAGUCAUCGGCAGACCUACUGCCAAUCUCUUCAUCCAUCGAGUCUUUCUCCAAGAGUUAGUCAUUUCUCUAAUCUUCUGCUUGUAACCAUCACCUUUAUAAGAGAAUUCACAUUGAGCUAAUCCUUGGGUUGCAGGUACGAACUGCCUUGACCUAUACUGUCUUAGUACCAGCAAUGGUGCAUAGCCAAUGGCUCCCUAAAUCCCAAGUACAGGGACCCAGUUGAAAUCUCCACACCUAUAUAAGAUCUCAUCUGGUAGCAUUCAAGGAGCUCUCCAUUCAAUAUCCUCCUCUUGAAGAUUCUGAAGAAUUUCCAUCCAUUUUUCCUCUGAAAUAUCAUCCUGCCUCUGUAUAGCCACUAUUUCUUUCAAGGGAAAAUAAUUUUUAGAAAAAAACCCGAUAAGAAACCUUAUCAACUUUCCAAAAGUGACUAUGAAACCAUGUUAAGAGGAGCUGCGCACGUCCAAUGAAUCUACCCUCACCUGGUCUUCGGCAUUCAUUUAGUGAUCUAAAAGUUUCUGUUAAAAUUGCUGGGACUGGUGUAACCCCAUUAUCAAGUCGGUCAAAAAGAUCAGUGAGUUCUUCAUCAACAUGUCCCAAGGCUUUGGGAAAGACAAAUAAGCCGUAGAUACUCAAGGCAAAGACAUAAACUUUCUUCCUCGUAUCUGAGUGUGCCAAAAUUGAAUCCUUCAAGUUCUUCCAAGGAAUGCAUUUGCUAUCCUCUUUUUGUUUGAUUCGUGUUGCGACCCAUUGCUCACUCAUCUAGUAAUAUUCAUCAAUUUCUUCAAAAAGGUUAGGACAAUAGCAGCUCUCGAGUAAGCUUUGUCUACUUGGAUCUUCGAACAACGAAGUAAGGCCACAUAUUCCUCCACUGUAGGCACUAACUUAACUUUUCCAAAGGUGAAACAACUAUAAGUAGGAUUCCAAAACUGGGCGAGGGCACGAAACAAGUGUUUAUCCACCUUUAUGUCGAGUAAAUGAAGUAGAUCUCCAUAGCUAGAGUAAAAUAGCUGCUUCACCUCAUUAUUCCACUGGUCCCAAAUUUCCUUCAAUUCCUGUAGAUUAUUCUGGGUUACGCUAAUACGAGAAAAAUCCCACAACUCUGACACAUAUCCUUCAGCCAAGCUAUCACCUUUCUCUUGCUGUAUUGUCUCAGACCAGAUUUGGACAGCCGCAUUAUCCUCCACCUUAUCAAGAAAUCCCUUUUCCAUGAUAAGCUUUCUAUCUAGUAACCGAAUAUGAACUAACUCCUUUUAGGAUGAAAUGCUAUGCAGUCAUAAUGUCAUGCAAUCAAAGCAAAAUAACCCAAGUUAGUAUCACGUAUAAAGACAUAAUUCAACACGAACAUGAGAUAAUAAAAGCACCUAUUUAAGAGUCCAAUAGGGUUUGGUAUGAUUCUACCUAAGGCCAGUUCCUAAAGCUCACUAUAUGAGGUUUAGUUUCUAGAGCAAAGGUACCCGAACUAGCAAAUUCCUCGAUCCUCACCCAUUAUAGGCUCAUAUGGUUCGAGUUCAGUUCAUGGGGAAUACAUUUCCCUAUGGCUGCAUGGAGAUGAAAAUCUCACGAAGACAUAGGUAUGGAUGUAUCCCGAAAGCGGUCCAUUGCCCUGCAUGGAGGUGAAAACCUCACAAAGGACUAGUUUCUCGCUCCCACUUAAAGGGUAAAAACUGACCAACCAAUGCAAUGCAAAAUGCAAAUACAAAUUAAUCAACUCGGACCAAUCAUGCAAACAUAUCAUGAUGAAAAUCAAUGAAUGCAAAGAGAAAUCAUGAUUUUAAAACAAAAUUUGAUUUUGCCAAGCUGUUAAAACCACUUUUUUUUUGAAAAAAGACAAUCGUCGACUUAAAAACAAAAAUUGGAGUCGCCACCAAUCUUUUAUUAAGGUGUGCUCGGUUCACCUUGAAAAUGAUUUUAGGUCUACAAAUUUUGAGAAAAUAGGUUCGGGAGUCAGUUACGCAUGAGGAAGGGUUAGCACCCUCGUAAGCCCAAAAUCAGUACCGAACUGAUUGUUUAAUGUCUUGGUGUCGAAAAUUUGAAAAGAUUUUAAAAGAAACUCAUAUGAUGAAAUCUGAAAGGAUAAUCAAUUGUUUAAGUCAGACGAAGAAAUCGAGACCCAAUACGUUAGAGUACGAUUUCUCAAAAUCCCCAAACUUUGAAUAUCACUUUUAUUUUAUAAGAAAAUCUUCAUCUCGAGAAAGCAAUAUGUUAUGCCCAAUACGUUAUGACACAACAAGUUAAAUUCUCGAAAAUGAUCUUUACAUUUAUGCGUUUUGAAAAAGCUAUGCUCGAUUAUUUAGGUUUAAGAAGGAAAAUUGGAACCCAAUACGUUAGGGCUCAAUCUUCUCGAAAAUCCUAAAUAUCGAGUACCGCAUUAUCUUCAAAGCCUUUAAACAAAAAUGAUUUUAAUGCUUUGAUGAAAUCAAACCCAUUUUUUAAAAGCAUGAUAAAAUGUUAAUAUACAACAUGAAACACAUACUUUAAUUUAAAUUAUAUAUGUAUAUGUGUUUACAAAAUAUGUAUAUAUAAGUAUGAUACAUAAGUAAAUUUUAAAAAUAUGUAUAUGCAUAUAUUAAAACAUAUAUAAGUAUACAUAUAAAAAAGGAAAAAAGAAUGAAAUAUAUAAAACAAAAAAAAAACUUAUAAUAAUUUCUAAGAAAAUAUGUAUGUAUAUAUAUAUGUAUGUGAAAAUUAUGAAAAUAAGAUAAAAAAAUAAAAGUAUGUAUAUGUGUAUAUAUUUACAAAAAUAAAAAAUGUAUUAGUAUAUAUAUUGGUAAAUCAUGAAAAUACGUAUAUGUAUAUAUUUAAAAUACGUAUAUAUAUAUAAGUAUAAUAUGUACAUAAAAAAUGACAUAUGCAAAAAAAAACAAAUAUAUAUUUAUAAAAAUUUAGAAUAAAUAAAAAUGUACGUAUAUACAUGUUAUAAGAAUGUAUGCAUAUGUACAUGGAUUAUGAAAUAUAAAAGAUGUAUAUGUAUUAUAAAAUGUUAAUGCAUAUAUAUACAUGUAUACAAAAGUUAUGAAAAUAAAAUAAUAAUAAAUAUAUAUAAAAUAUGUACAUGUAUUUACAAAAAAAAUAAAAAAGUAUAAGUAUAAUAUAUUAGUAAACUAUGAAAAUAUGUAUAUAAAAAAAUAUGCGGAAGAUAUAUUUAUAACAAUUUUGUAUAGUGUAUGAAUAUAUAUAUUAUAAAAAAUGCAUAUAUAUUAUAAAACAUAUGCGUGUGUAUAGAAAUAAUAAUGAUAAUAAUAAUAAUAAAUAAUAAAUAAUAAUAUAAUAAUAAUGAUGCAAUAACAAUAUUAAUAAUAUAAAAAACUAAAAAAAAACUUAAAACGAUAGAUCAAGGAUUAAAUUGAAAAUAAACGGAGUUUAAGGGGCCGAACUUUGAAGAAAACACAACAGGGGACCAAAUCCCAAUAUGCGCAACAAGAGGAGGACCCAAAGGGAAAUAUCCCCACACUGGUCCAACAGCGUUGUUUUAGCGAGACCCAUGCUCAUGGUCUAUGGACCGAAUUGAAACAGGAAAGAUAUUUUGUGCCAAAAAUUAAAUAUAAAAAUUAAAGUAUAUUGAGAAUGCUACGAAAGUGGAUGGACUGAUUGCGCAAAUACCCCCACUAACGAAAACACGCAGAUCCUUUGGCAGGUCAGGUCACGCAUGCGGGUAUGGCCCUAUACGGCGCCGUUUUGGGGCCACUAAAACAGGCCUUAAACGACACCGUUUUGCAACCGUUAUAAAACGAAAAUUUCCUUAAAAAAUUCAUUUUCCCUAUUUUUACAAAAGAUAGCAGAGAAACCCUCUGCUAGGGUUUCUUUUUCCCACGCCGCUGCCGCCACCAACCAAGGCCCUCCCAUGGCCUCAGCUAAUGUCCCGAUCUCCGAUCGCGAUGAAGAAGGGUACACCGUGACGAAACCAGGUAAGAUUUUCUCUUUUUUUAAAGAAAAACAGAGAAAACUAAUCCAAGACUCGAAAAAAAUCGAAAAGAAAAAUUUUAAAACCUUUCAAAAUCCCUUUUUCUUUGAAAAUCUUCUCAUUUUAUUACUGUUUAUAAAAAUUAAAGAUAAAUAGAACAAGAAACAAUAACAGAGACGCAAUUUCACCUUUAAUCUUUUCUCUUUUACUUUAUUUCGUCCCUCUUUCUUCCCUAUUUUCAAAUACAAAAGCGGCCUUUAUAGCCUGAAACAUAUUGUUGUUUUACAUAUUUUUUCUCUGCUGGAAUCUUCUAGUCCGUGUUUGCAGGUGUACGUGACGGAACGGCGCGCGUGGAGGAGGCUGGUUCAGAAUUGUGCGUCGCCUGGAGUCCGCUGGAGGCGUUGAGCAAUAUGCGACUAGGGUUGCUGUUUUUGAACAUUUGGUUUGGGCCAUACUAAAAUUGGGCUAGGGUAAAACCUAGGUUUUGGGCCUGUAAUUGGGUAGUUAGGUUGAUGAUAUUGGGCCGUGUAAAUGGACAUUUAAAUGUUGGACUCUUUAUUUGUUUUUUUAACUUUCUGUUUUGGUUUAUUAUUUGUACAUGCGGGCCCAGAUAAUAAUUAGUAUUACAAUACGUGUUAAAGACUAUUAAAAGAUCCUAAUCGAUUAAAAUUAUUCCUCAGUUAAUCUAGAAACCAACUAACCAACCAAACACCGUUACGGUACUCGAGCAAAAACUAAAAACAUGGACCAAAGAUUGGAAAGGCUUGAAUAGUUCCAAAAGGAGAUGCAAGACCAACUUCUGCUGCAAAUGGAAGAGCAGCUAGCUAAGAUAUAGCAAGAUAUGAUGGAAAAAUGCUGGAGUCUCAAAGAAACAUGAUGACUCAGUUGACUCAACUGUUGGCUAGGGAAAUGAUAAAGGAAAGGGCUCUAUGGCUAAUGCUGAAGAAGGAGACAAUGAGGGACCUCUCUAUCCUCCAAGCUUUACUCCUCUACAUGUGCAGACCCAAGCUAAAGUAUACCUGCGGAAAUCCUCUGUCACAAUCAGGUCUCAGCAGUUUCAGGCCGGUGCCUCAAUACCAAUAAACUUCCAAGCUGAAUUAGGCUCUAACCCUAGAGAUAACCCAUUAAUCCUGCUAUCCCCAAUUUCGAUGAAAUGGCUGAAAAAGAAAAAACAAAGGAUGAAUUGCCGAAACAGCUAGAGGAAAGGUGUAAAUGGUUCGAAAAAAAAUUCAGAGCAAUGGAAAGCACUGAGAACUACCAUGGGAUUGAUGCUAAAGAUCUGAGCUUGGUCUCGAAUUUGGUACUCCCUUACAAGUUCAAAAUGCUAGAAUUUGAGAAAUGCAAUGGAACCAGUUGCCCUGAAGCUCAUAUCAGCAUGUUUUGUAAGCAAAUGACUGGAUAUGUUAACAAUGACCAACUGCUAAUACAUUGCUUCCAAGAUAGCCUCACAGAGGCAAUAUCUAAAUGGUACAAUCAAUUGAGCCGUACCAAGAUUAGUUCAUGGAGGGAUUUAGCACAAGCAUUCAUGAAGCAGUAUAGUCACGUAACAGAUAUAGUUUCAGAUAUCGGUCCUGGAAAGAGAAAUAACAAUGCUCUUUAUUAACACACUGAAAGCCUCAUUUAUCACACAUAUGUUAGGAAGUGCCACAAAAAGCUUUUCUGACAUAGUCAUGAAUGGUGAAAUGAUUGAAAAUGCCGUAAGAAGUGGGAAGAUUGAUGUUGGAGAAAGUAACAGAAGGCUAGCCUCAAAGAAAAAGGAAAAUGAGGUAAACAACACGAUUACAUAUAGCAAGGGUUACUCAAAAUCGAUUACGGUGAAUCAGGCAAGAAAGGUGGUUGCUAAUCAACAAGGUUCAUCAAGACAAGAAUCUAACACACGACAAAACACUGAGAAGAUCCAGUUCACACCAACUCCAAUUUCGUAUAGGGAGCUGUAUCAAAGUUUAUUCGAUGCACACGUUGUUUCCCCUUUCUACUUAAAACCUCUACAACCUCCGUACCCCAAAUGGUACGACGUGAAUGCACAAUACGAUUAUUAUGUGGGAAGUAAGGGGCAUUCCAUAGAAAAUUGCACUGCCUUUAAAAAGCUAGUUGAAAGGCUCAUCAGUAUGGACAUUGUCAAAUUGGAUGAUUCAUCUAGUGCAGAAAAUCCAUUACCUAAUUAUCCCGAUAAUGGAGUAAACAUGAUGAGUGAAAAUAUGGGGAGAAGAAUUAAGGCAGACAUUGUAGAAGUAAGAACCCCUUUGAGAUGGGUCUGGAAGAAGAUGGUAGAAAGGGGGUUAAUCAUUUAGAAGCUGCAGAAAGACGAGAAAUUAUUGUGAGUUCCAUCACGAAGGAGGGCACGAGAUCCAAAAGUGUAUAGAAUUCAGAGCCUUGGUUCAAGGCAUGAUGGAUGAUAAGGAAGUGGAGUUCUACGAAAAAGUCAUGGAAGAAGGAAGCAUAUGCGCGUUGGAAUCAAUGACAAAGGUUCUGAAAGUAAAACAUCCUGUGGUCAUCAUCUCGUGACCAAAGAAUAAUGAAGAGGGAGUACCGGUAAUGCCAAAGAUCAUAAUUCAGAAACCUACAACCUUCUCUUACAGGGAUAGCAAGAAAGUCUCGUGGAACUAUGACUGCAACGCAACCAUCCCGUAAAGGAGACUUCAGCCACUGCUGCAAAAGAGGAUCAGGGUAUAGGUUCUCAUACGCGUAGUGGGAAAUGCUACGAUUUGAUAAGUCCUCAAAUAGAACCAAUAAAAGGAAAGGCCAUAGUGAUGGAACAAAAGAAAGGGAAAGCAACCGAGCUUGUGUUACCUAUCAACGAGCCAGUAAAAGAGGAAGAGGCCAAGGAAUUCCUCAAAUUCAUGAAGCACAGUGAGUACAGUGUUGUGGAACAGUUGCAUAAAUAACCAGCUCGUAUAUCUGUUCUAGCCUUGCUCUUGAGUUCAGAGGUGCAUCGAAGUGCGUUGAUGAAAGUGCUGAACGAAACCUUUGUGGCCACUGAUAUCUCUAUCAAUAAAUUAGAUCGGCUGGUCAAUAAUAUAAGCACCGAUAACUUUAUCUUCUUCAACGAUGAUGAAAUACCACCUGGGGGUAUGGGGUCUACUGAAGCUUUGCACAUUACUAUCCGAUGCAAAGGGUAUACCUUGUAAGGAGUUUUGAUCGACAACGGAUCAACAUUGAAUGUAUUGCCUCUAUCCACACUUACCAGGUUUCCCAUGGAUAGCUCGUACAUGAAGACAUACUUGAAUAAAGUGAUGACAUUUGAUGGCACAGAACGGAAGGUCAUAGGAAGAAUCGAAAUACCCUUAUUGAUUGGUCCGACUAUCUGUGAGGUGGAUUUCUUUGUAAUGGAUAUUAAGCCUUCCUACAAUUGCUUAUUAGGGAGACUAUGGAUACAUUCGGUAGGGGCUAUACUGUCAUUAUUACAUCAGAAGUUGAAGCUAGUGUCAAAAGGUCAGUUGGUGACAAUAAAUGCCGAAGAGGAUAUCAUAGCGGUUAUAGCCAAUGAUGCGACAUACGUGGAAACUAAUGAUGAGGCAGUUGAAUGCUCCUUUCGAUCUUUGGAGUUUCUAACUGCAACAUUUAUUUCUAAGGGGAACAAAAUUCCAGUGCCUAAAAUAUCCAAAACCACGGUGAUGGGGUUAUAGUUGUUGGUAGGGAAAGGAGCUUUACCCGGAAGAGGAUUAGGGAGACAUCUUCAAAGAAGAAUUGAGGCUCCGGUACUGACAGAAAAACAAUAUCACUUUGGCUUAAGGUACAGGCCAGAUAUAAGACAGAGAAAGAAGGAGUUAGAAAAAAGGCAAGAAAGAAGAAGGGCACGCCUAAGUGGGGAGGAAAUUAAAUGGGAACCAAUGAUAAUUCCCCGCAUAUCCAAAACCUUUGUAUCAGGAGAGAUAAUUCAUCCUGAGAGAAGGAUACCGAUGGAAGAAUGAAUCGAAGAGAUGUUGAAAAAUGUUCACAUCAAUGCCAUACAUGAAGACACAAAUGAAGAAGGGGCCUUGUUAUAUAUUCAUCAUUGUAAACUUGGGAGUGUUCUAAAUAAUUGGACUGUAGAAGAAAUACCUGAAGUUUUUAGAGCUUUCUCAGAGUAAUAUUUGAAACACACUUGUUGUUUUAGCCUAGAGACAAUAAAAACUCCUUUGUGAAAUAGGCUCAUAUUCGAACAUCAUUAUUUUAAUGAAAUAUAUCUUUGCAAUUAUUUUGAGCAGAUAUUCCUUUAAGAUUCUUUCAUUCUUUUGUGUGAGUAAUUAUUUUGGAUUCUUUCAUUCUUUUGAAUUCUUUGCCAAAUCAUUCUUUCAUUAAUUCAUAAUCAUGCCAUACAAAUAAGUAUCCUUAAAUUCAUACAAUUCUUUGUAUAUUCCUUGGUACCUAUAACAGGUCCCCGGAUAUCAAUGACAUGAGUGAUUCUGUUAUGGACUCAGAAAAUCCUUUUGAACAAUACAUGUGUCUAGAGAGAUCUCAUGACUUUGAAGAUAACAUAGAUCAUAACUUAUCUCUGGACUUGUUGAGGAUGGUAGAGCAAGAAGAGAAACAAAUCAUACCUCAUAAGGAAACGUUGGAAAUUAUGACCUUGGAAGACGGAAAGGUCAUGAAAAUUGGGACAUGCGUAACCGAUGAAACGAAGUGAGACUUCAUCAAGUUACUUCAGGAGUUCAAAGAUGUCUUCGUAUGGUCAUACUAGGAUAUGCCCGGGUUAAGCAAUGAUAUUGUAGUGCAUCGCCUUCCUAUAAGAGACGAUUGCAAGCCAGUUCAGCAAACACUCUGGAGGAUAAGGCCUGACGUUAUACUAAAAAUAAAGGAGGAAGUUCAAAAGCAGUUCGAUGCUGGGUUCUUACAAGUGGUUAAGUACUCAGAAUGGGUGGCCAACAUUGUACCAGUCCCUAAGAAAGAUGGGAAGGUACGAAUGUUUGUAGAUUACAGAAAUUUGAAUAAGGCUAGUCUGAAAGAUAAUUUCCCCUUCCCUCACAUUGAUACCUUGACCUUGGUGGAUAACACAAUAGGAUACUUUUUUCUUUCAUGGACAGUUUCUCGGGAUAUAACCAAAUUAAGAUGCAUCCUGAAGAUAUGAGGAAUACCACUUUCAUAACCCUAUGGGGAAGUUUCUAUUAUAAAGUGAUGUCGUUCGGGUUGAAAAAUGCGGGAGCCACAUACCAGAGAGCCAUGGUGACCCUCUUCCAUGAUAUGAUGCAUAAAGAAAUUGAAUUCUAUGUUGACGACAUGAUUGCGAAAUCCCAGACAGAGAAGGAACAUGUGCAAGUCCUGAGAAAGUUGUUCUUGAGGUUAAGAAAGUUCCAAAUCAAACUCAAUCCAGCUAAAUGUACCUUUGGGGCAGGUCAGAAAAACUUUUGAGGUUUGUAGUCAAUGAAAAAGGGAUUGAAAUUGACCCAGACAAAGUCAAAGCUAUACAAGAAUUGCCUCCGCCACGUACUCAAAAAGAAGUUAGGGGAUUUUUAGGGAGACUAAAUUACAUUGCACGGUUCAUCUCACAACUAACUGAGAAAUGUGAUCCUAUAUUUCGUCUCCUUAAAAAGCAUAACUCAGGUGUAUGGGACGAAGAACGUCAGAAAGCUUUUGACAGAGUAAAGCAGUAUUUGUCCAGUACCCCAGUAAUGUCACUGCCUAGCUCGGAUAGGCCGCUGAUUUUGUAUUUAACGGUGUUUGAUAAUUCCACGGGAUGUGUGUUGGGCCAGCAUGAUGAGACAGGGAGGAAAGAAAAGGCAAUAAACUAUCUCAGUAAGAAAUUCACUGACUGUGAAAUGAGAUAUUCGCCUAUUGAAAAAAUAUGUUGUUCCCUGAUCUGGACGACACGAAGAUUGAAGUAAUACAUGCUCUACCAUAUGACUUGGCUAAUUUCAAAGUUAGACCCUUUAAAGUAUAUGAUGAAGUCAACUGUGUUGAAUGAGAGGAUGGCUAGAUGUCAAAUUUUGCUCUCUGAGUUUGAUAUAGUAUAUGUAAAUCAGAAGGCUGUGAAAUGGAGUGCGAUAGCAAACUUUUUGGCCAGCAGAGUUUUAAAAGACUAUUAACCUUUGGAUUUUGAUUUCUCGAAUGAAGACUUGAUGUAUGUGGGAACUACAGAAGAGGAUUCUCAAAAAAAUCGUCCUUGGUGGUUAAAUUUAAACGGAGCUUUGAAUGCCAUAGGUAAUGGGAUUGGGGCAAUCACUGUGUCCCCAAAUGGAGAUCAUUAUCCUUUUACCAGUAAAUUGGAUUUUGAUUGCACCAAUAACGUGGCUGAAUAUGAAGCUUGCAUCAUCGGUAUCAGGGCAGCCAUAGAGCGAAAAAUUAAGAUACUAGAGGUAUACGGGGACUCGACAUUGGUAAUAUACGAGCUCAAAGGGGAAUGGGAAAUGAGAAACCCAAAGUUAAUCCAUUAUCAGAGAUUGGUUCAGGACUUGAUCGAAGAUUUUGACUGUAUCACUUUUUGUUAUCUCCCACGAGAAAAAAAUUAGAUGGCUGAUGCUCUAGCUACCUUAGCCUCCAUGAUCAAAGUAAACAAACUAGAAGACAUGAAGCCUAUUGAAAUUAGCAUUUAGAAGACCCCGACCCAUUGCUACAGUAUUGAGGUAGAGGAAAAUGAUAACCAUCCUUGGUACCAAGAUAUAUUGAAAUAUAAGAAGAAUUGCUAGUACCCUGAUCAGGCAACGGAGAAUGAUAAGAGGACAUUGAGGAGACUAGCCAUUGACUAUGUCUUAGAUGGAGAGAUUUUAUACAAAAAGGGAAAUGAUCAGGUACUAUUGAGAUGCGUGGACACUGUAGAGGCCAAGGAAAUCUUGGAAGAAGUCCAUGAGGGUAUUUGCGGAACGCAUGCCAACGGAUUCACCAUGGCUAGAUAGAUUAUGAGAUUCGGGUAUUACUGGUCCACCAUGGAAAGAUAUUGCAUCAAUUAUACCAAAAAGUGCCAUAAAUGGCAAAUUUAUGGGGAAAAAAUUCACGCAGCUCCUUCACCCCUUCACGUUAUGACUUCUCCAUGGCCUUUCUCCAUGUGGGGUAUGGAUGUCAUCGGGCCAAUAUCCUUGAAGGCUUCUAAUCAGCAUCAUUUCAUCUUUGUGGUUAUUGACUAUUUCACUAAAUGGGUGGAAGCGGCUUCAUAUGCUAUUGUCACGAAGUCAGCAGUUACUAAGCUCUUGAAAAAAGAGAUCAUAUGUUGAUAUGGAAUGCCUGAAAGAAUCAUAUCUGACAAUGCGCUGAAUUUGAAUAGCAGCAAAAUAGCGGAAGUCUGCAGUCAAUUCAAGAUUAGACACCAUAAUUCGUCACCGUAUCACCCAAAAAUUAAUGGUGCAGUGGAGGUGGCCAACAAAAAUAUCAAGAAAAUUGUGGGGAAAAUGGCUGAAACUUAUAAGAACUGGCAUGAGAAAUUACCAUUUGCUCUUAUUGCCUAUCGAACAUCUAUCAGGACUUCUACUUGGGCAACACCUUUUUCUCUAGUUUACGGGAUAGAGGAAGUUUUACCAAUUGAAGUUGAAAUCCCAUCUCUUCGAGUAUUAGUUGAACUAAAAUUGGAUGAGGUUGAAUGGAUCCAAUCUCGAUAUGAUCAGUUGACCUGAUAAAAGGAAAAAGGCUAAAAGCUAUUCAUCACGGUCAGAUGUAUCAAAAAUGAAUGAUGCGAGCCUAUAACAAAAAGGUUCGUCCUAGAGAAUUCCAUGAGGGGGACCUAGUGUUGAAAAAAUUCCUUCCUCUACAAAAGGAUUUUAGAGGGAAGUGGAUGCCAAAUUGGGAAGGACCUUAUGUUGUAAAGAAGGUCUUUUCUAGAGGAGCUUUGACUUUGAAUGAGAUGGAUGGUAAAAACUUGCCAAAUCUUGUAAACUCAGACUCAGUAAAGAAAUACUUCACCUGAAGAAAGAAAAUAAAUUAAAGUGAAAACCGCAAAGAGCGCCUUGAGUCCUUGAAAAAAAUGAGAGGCCAAGGUGAAAACCCAUAAAGGGCAUCUUGAGACUAAAGGGGAUUUAAGUUGAAAACCCAAAAAGGGUGGCUCAAAUUUUGAUCAGAAUGAGACAUAAGGUGAUCAAAGUAGCAAAUUUUGAUCAGAUUGGCGCAUGUGGUGGUCUUGCUAUACUUGAAUCAACAAGAAAGGGUAGGCGAUAUCUUGGAGCAUCAAAAAAGUACUUAGAUCUCCUAAAAACGUGUCAAAAUCAGAAUGAUCUUCAGAAAGUUGUACAGAGAAGUUCAAGCUGCGAUAUGUGGGGCACCUAGUCUUUAUAAUAUUUAUAUUGAAUUUGUUGUUCUUGGAAUACUUCUUUCUUUUUCAAGAUACAUGUUCCCACUUAAUUCAUCUUUUAUUUUUACUAUCCUUGAUAAUUUAUUCAUUUCGGGCCGUGCUCUUAAAUCAGUUCUAUUUUUAUCCAUUGAUAUGAUCUUUUACAAGCAUGUUGCAUUGGAAUAAUGAUUAAUGGACUAAUAAUACUUUCUCAAAGGAAGUUUUGCAUAUUACUCUAGAAGUUUCUAAAUAAUACAGGAACCUGAAAUAGGACUAUUGUUUAGAAUGCACCAAGUUUAAAGGUUGAAAUAUCUAAAAAGGAAAAGUCUAAAUUAAGACUAUGUCUUCGGAUUUUGAUGUCAAAAACAUUGGUUGAACAAAAUAUCAUGCCGGUGAUAAAGCUUCGAUCGCCAAGCACUAAGAAGAAGUUAUCCUUGGAAAAAUUUCUAUACUCAUGCAUAAAUACCUGGUCACGACAUCUUAGGAAUGGUGUAAAUGACCAAAAUGAGGGUAGAAGAUUGUCAUACUAUACCCUUGAAUUGCAAUAAAAGAGGUUUGAAAAGAGUCAUAUCUUAUAGCCCUGGGUUGCAGUGGAAGAAAGAUGGCCCAAAACUCAGGUCUCAGAAGAACAGUUGAACCUUGAGGUUACAGUGAGGCAAACUGAUUGAAUGUUUCUUUGGGUAUUUGUUGAAGGCACCAGCUGAAUAAAACAACUCUAUAACACAUCAGUGAUGAAAUCUUCACGAACAAUGAGUAAUGACAACCCAAACAUUAAAAAAGGGGAUCAUCCUCAUUCUGCAUUCAUUCAUAGCAUCUAGUUAGUAAAUUUUGACUCAUUUCGAUCAUAACAUCCUAAUCAUUAGGCAUAAAUAGGUUCAUACAAUGGAUUCUACAUGUCAUGUUCCCUAGAGUGUAGAUUGGUGAAACUACAAUCCUAUACCACUGAAGUUGCAGUGGAAUAGAUUGAAGAAGAUGACAAAUAUUAUCUUCCUGAAGUUUCAGUGGAGUAGAUUAAAGCCAAUAAUCUUAUCUCCAUAAAGUUGCAGUAGAGCGGAUUAAAGUGAAGUUUGAUCUUCCUGAAGUUGCAGUGGAGCAGACUGAAGAUAGCAAAUGUUAUUCCCCUGAAGUGGCAGCGGAAUAGGUUAGAGCUAUAAAUUGCAGAUCUUAUCUCUCUGAAGUUACAAUAGAGUAGAUCAUAGCAAACCUUAUCUCCCUGAAGUUGUAGUGGAGCAAGUUGAAGUUACAAGUCUUAUCUCCCUGAAGUUGCAGUAGAGCAGACUGAAGAUAGCGAAUCUUAUUUCCCUGAAGUUGCAGUGGAACUGAUAGAAGCUAUAAAUUAUAGAUCUUAUCUCUCUAAAGUUGUAGUAGAGCAGAUCAUAUCAAACCUUAUAUCCAUAAAGUUGCAGUGGAGCAGAUUGAAGAAACCAAUCCUAUCUCCCUGAAGUUGCAAUGGAGUGAAUUAAAAUGAUGGAUCUUAUCUCUCUGAAGUUGCAAUAGAGCAGAUCACAUCAGACCUUAUUUCCUUGAAAUUACAGUGAAACAUGUGGAAGCUACAUGUCUUAUCUCCCUGAAGUUGCAGUGGAGCAGACUGAAGAUAGCAAAUGUUUCAUUGAAGAGAUACAAAUCUUAUUUCCCUAACGUUUACAGUGGAGUGGAUCGAAGCACCAAUACCUUUGAAGAUGCAAUAGGUUGGAAUUAGGAUACUUGAAGAAGUAGAGCACCAAGAUCCAGUACGACCUGGCAAAAUUGGUCAUUUCUAAAGUCUUUGCUCCGUUCCUGUUACAUUACAACGAGCAAAGAGGGGCAGCUGUAAUCGGCCCAAUUUGCCCGGCCCGUAUAUAAAUAAAUAAAACCAAAUACCAAAUAAAAAUUCAAAGUCCAAAUACAGUCCAAUUACAUUAAAAUUGCCAGCCCAAACCGAAACCCGAUUUCAAGCCCAAAUUCAAAAUACACCAAGACCCAAUCUAAAACCCAAUAAACAGUGACCCAAUUACAGAGGCCCAAUGCCUGGCCCUAGACCACGAAACAGAAACACUAGAAGAUCCAAGUGCCGCUCUUGCCCUCUGUGUGUGCCGAGUCUCUGUGCGCAUUCGCCUCCUUCGAGCUUGUACCUGUACAACAAAAAUGGCAACAAACAGCACAGGCUGGAAAAAUGGCAAGAAAAUAAAAAAAAUCGCAAAUAAAAGGCAACAAGCAGAUAACACAUUUAAAAUUAGAUUUUUUACAUUUUCCUUUUUCCAUGAUCUGCUAUAAAAAGCAAACUUGAUUGUAAAAGAGGGGAUACGAAAUCAGUGAAAAAAUACGAAAGAAAUAAAAAGUAAAAGUUUUCGAAAAGUGAUUUUCAUACUUUUCUUUUCUUCUAUUUUUCUCUGAUUUUUCUUUUCUAUUUUUUCUGUUAAUCGUAUAAAAAAAGAGAAAAAGGAAAGAGUUAAGGGUCGAGAGACUUACCUGGUGGUUGAACCUUCGCUCCCUACGUCCCAAUCGGAGUCUGGUGAAGGGCAGGGGCAAUAGGGCAUUUUGUUUUCCGAGUGCUGCGGCUAGGGUUUGCCAUUUGUAAAAAGUGGCUACUAUGAUUCAAUUUUGGCUUUCAAAACGGCACCAUUUGAGACCUGUGCUAAUGAUUUCAAAACGGUGUUGUUUUCGCAAUGAUCCGUGCUGUGACCCAACCCGAGGGAAGGAUCCGUGCGUGUUGUCUCAAUGUUUUAUUUGUGCAAUUGGUUCCCCCGCUUUUGUAACGUUCUUAAAUUGAUCCUCUUAUGUUUCUUAAAUUUUGCCACAUAUUUCAUUGUUUGUUUCAAUUUGGUCCAUGCUGAAACACAGCGUUUUGGGGCUGGGGAUAUUUUCCUCUUUAGUCCCCAUGUUAUUCGCACGUGCCUUUUUGGUCCUCAAUUCUUCUUUAUUUUCAUUUUUUCUUUUUAUUUUGACUUAAAUACAAUUUAAUCCAUACUUAUUUAAUUUAAUGUACUUGAUUUUUAUUAUGUUUAAAACUCAUUUUUCUGUUAUUUUUAGAUAUAUUUAUUUUUAAAUCUAACAUUCUUUUUAUGUUUAAGUUUAAUAUAUUUUUAAGUUUAUUAUCAAUACUAUUUUAAUAUUAUAAUAUAUUAUUAUUCUAAAUUUAUCAUUAACAUUAUUUUAGGUUUAUCAUGUAUUUUUAUUUAAAGUUAACAUAUAUUAUUAUUUUGAAUUUAUCACGUAUUAUUAUUUUUUUAAAUUAUCAUAAAAUUUUUUAAAUUUAUGAUGUAUUAUUAUUCCAAAUUUAUUAUAUAUUGUUUAUUGUAAAUUACUCUUUCAUUUCAAAUCAUCGUGGAUAUUAUUUGUAUUAAAUUAUAUCUUCAUAUAUAUUAUUUGUUUCAAUUCAUUCGUUGUUUUAAAUUCCAUCUAUAUAUAUUAUUUCUUUUGAAUUAUACUCAUUUUUUUUAAAUUACUUUGUUAUCAUUUUUCUAUAUAAUAUACCUUCUAAUUCUUCUUUACACAUCUUUUACUUAAAUAUUUUGUAUAUUAUGUUUACACAUUAUAUGUGUUAAAAUGUUUACAUGUAAUUUUAAAUGAUUUUUUUAAAAUUGAUUUAUUUUAAUUCGUUUCAUGUGUUCAUUUUAUUUUGAAUUGAUUUGUAUACUGGUUUUUUUAGCUUAUUACUUGCUUCACUUUGUUUUAUUUCAUGUACUAUUUAGUUGGUAUUGGGUUUUGUUUCAUGUAUUAUUUUAAGUUUAAAAACUAUUAUGUGCAUUUGAGUUUGUAUAUUCAUAUUUGUAUGGUAGUCUACCCAUGUAUAUUGUUCCAUGUUCAUACAUUUGCUUUUCAGUUCCGAACAUUACAUCGUAGUUAAAAUUUCCGAUUUAUUUGCCAAAAAUUAAUCAUUUCAUUUCGAAUAAAGAAAAUUUACAUCAUUGUUAAUAUUGCAUUAAACUUUUGCUUUAAUCCAAAUUCAUAAAAGAGGAGAAAAUGAAGUUUGCAAUAUGUCGUCUUUGGAACGAUGUAAAAUCGUGCCCUAACUUACGGGGUUUCAAUUUUUUCGUCGAACUAAAAAGGCUAAGCACGUUUUUAGUUCUCAAAUACACAAAGUUUUAUUAAAGGUUUUUAAAGGUUAGCUUAUGCUCGGGAAUUCAAAUGUUGCAUCCUAACUUACGAGAUACGACAUUUCGUUGCCUCGGGAUGAGAAGGCCUUUCUACGUAUGUUCAAAUUUAUAUAAAUAUUUAAAAAUAUAUCAUUAAUAAAAGGGGAAUCGUUUUUAAUCUUUUCAAAAUUUUGAAUUUCGACUUUAAAACAUUAAAUAAUCAAUUCGGUACCAAGUUUAGGCGUCACAAGAGUGCAAAUUCUUCCUCGUAUGUAACUGACUCCCGAACCCAUUUUUUCUGAAACUCGUAGACCAAAAUCAUUUUUAAAGUGAUCCAAUCACACCCCAAUAAAAUAUCGGUGGCGACUCUAAUUUUUAUUUUUUAAGUCGACUCUAUUUUUGUUUUUAAAAAGUGGUUUCGACAGCUGUGAUAGAAUUUUUUUGGUACAAUCAUUCAACAAAUAAAGGGGAAAAAAGGGGUAAAAUGUGAGUAAAGGGCUAAAGUAAACUGUGUAAAUUUUGUUUUGAAGUAUUUGAAAAAAUUGAAAAACUACGAUAGAAUCUUUUGGUAAAAUCAUUCAACAAAUAAAGGGAAAAAAUUGAGUAUGGAAUGAAUAAGUAUAUAUAUUAUUUCAUGUACUUUUUCUCUUAAAAAUAGUUAACAAAUUUAAAAUAAAAAUUGAAAUGUGUAAAAAAAAGUUUACACCACUACAUAAACCAUCAACGGGUGGAAGAGGCAAAUAGAAACUUUGAGUUCCAGAGUUCACUUAUGCUUCUCCACCAUUUCAAGAGUUCACUUCUUUUUUUUUUCCAUUACAAGACUUGUUCUUAACUCUAUAGUUAUUACAACAUGUAUGAUAUGAAAUUAUUAUUUUAUUAAUUGCGGUUGAUUAGUAUAGGCAGCUAAUUUAGGGUUUAUUACUUAGUUUAAAAAAUCUAUUUAUCUUAGUUUAAUACAUGAAAGUUGAAUAACUAAAUAAAAGAUACAAUAGAUCUGGAGGCAUUUAGUUACAAAGCUGUUUAUAAGGUAUUUUUCUGAAUUAUUUUGUGGUGUUAGUUAUAAGUAUUGUGAUUUAUGUUUCAAUUUUUGAAUUUUUUAUUAUUAGCUUUAAGUUUUAUAAUUAUUAUUUUAUUUUGAAUAUUUUACUAUCUGGUUUGAUCUCAUGUAAUGAAUAAAAAUUAUUUAUGUACAGCUAUAAAAAAUGACACGUUCGAGAAGUAAAUAAGUGAAGCUCCUAGUGAUGAUUACGGUUGGAGGUAGGGAGAACCUGUUGAAGGUGCUCGUAAUAAUGUCAAAUGGAAAUUUUGUGAAAGAGUCAUCAAAGGAGGAAUAACAUGGUUGAAAGAUCAUUUGGCAACAAAAAAAAGGUAAUGUAGCACCUUGUCCAAGUGUCUCGACAGAAGUUAGAAAAAACAUUGCUCAACAACUUAAUGAAUAUCAUAAUGAAAUUAUUGUGAAGCAAAGGAGGAAAGAAGAAUUGGAGGGAAGAAUAAGACUAGGAGAUCAUGGAGAUUAUGGUGAUAGUGAUGCUGAUGAUGAAGAGUUUACUAUUGCAAGACGUGAGAGUAUAAGAUCCAAAAUUGAAUGGGAAGAAAGGCAACAUCAAAGAGCAAGAACUGGUCAAGAUUCAGUUUAUGAAACUGAGGGAGGUAGUAGUUCUUAAACUCAAGUAUUUAGCAGAUCAUUCGGUAUCCAUAAUUCUAAAAAAAGUGGGAGGGAACAUCAGUGGACUAUUUUUAACUCUCCUAGAGCUAGAUUAGCAAAUAUGGAUCUUGUUCUUGAAAGAUCAAAAAGUUUGAAGCAACCAAAACUCACUACAAUCUUCUUGAAAAAUGAAAAAACAAACCUGGGGAAAGCAAUGUCAAAGUUAAUAUUGCAUGAAGCUUUACCUGCAAGAAUUGCAGAGUCACCAUUUCUACAGCCUAUACUCCAAGUUGCAACUGAAGUUGGAAAAUCAGUUAGGGGCCCUUCAGCUUAUGAGGUGACAGGAGUAUAUUUGGAAGAAGAGUAUAAGGAAAUACAAGAAUGGGUAAAUGCCUUUAAGCCUAUCUGGGAAGAAAGAGGUGUGACCAUUAUGUGUGAUGGAAGGAAAGAGACUAGAAAUCAACAUUUAAUUAAUUUCUUGAUUUAUAGUCCUCGAGGUACUAUUUUUAAAAAGUCAAUUUAUGCUAGCAGUGUUACCUCUCGUACUGCUGAGUAUUAUUUUAAUAUAAUGGAUAAAAUGGUGGAUGAAAUUGGUGAAGAAUUUAUUUUUCAGUUUGUUACAGAUAAUGAAGCAAUGAUCAAAGUCGGUGGUAAAAUGUUGAUGCAAAGAGAAUGCACUUCUAUUGGUCAGCAUGUUUUGCUGAUUGCUUGGAUCUUAUUUUGGAAGAAAUUGGUAACAAAAAAAGUGUGAGAAGGGUCCUAGAUGAAGCAAAAAAGAUAACUUCUUUCAUAUACAAUCAUACAUGGAUGAUUGAUUAUAUGAAGAGAUAUACCCAGGGAAGAGGACCCUUACUACCUGGGAUUACUAGAUUUGUUACCAAUUUCAUGCUUUGGAGAGUAUUGUUAGAAGCAAACAAACACUAAAAUAAAUGGUGACUUCUUUAGAAUGGAGAAGGUCCACAUAUGCAAGAAAACCAGCUGGAUUAGACAUGAUGGAAGCCAUUAACUCUAGCCAAUUUUGGAAAAAGGCUGUUGAUGUCCUAAAUAUCCAAGAACCGUUGGUUAAAGUAUUAAGGAUGUGUGAUGGUGAUGAAAAACCGACUAUGGGUUUUAUUUAUGAAACUAUGGAUAGAGUAAAGUUGGCGAUUCAAAGAGAUUGUCUCUAUUUCAAGAAAUAUUAGGAAAUAGUUGAUAAAAGAUGGAGUAAUCAACUUUAUAGUGAUUUACAUUCUCCUGGUACGUUGUAAAACUUUUAACUUUUUAAAUUAUGAAAUAUUUUGUUUAGAUAUUUAUUAUAUUAUUUUUAUAUAGGAUAUUUCUUAAAUCUACAAUUUCUGUAUGGAGGUAAUUCCACAAGUGAUGUGCUUAAUGAAACCAUUAAUGGGGUUAGAAAUGUUAUACAAAGGAUAGAGCCUAACAUGAAUGGUCAAGUUUUGGCAAUGAACCAGACAUUAUAAUAAAACAUUAUAAAUAUUUGGGUAAAGUACACCAACUCUCACUCAGUUUUGAUUUAAAUGACAAAACAGUCACUCAACUUUCAAAAAGUAACAAAUCAGUCCUACUAACCAUUUUUCGUUAUGUCUGUAACGAAAAAGUGACUUGGCAUUUAACCGACUCCUUGCUGUCAUUUAACUAACCAGUUAGAGGGUUUGCUGUCAUUUAAACUACCCCAUUUAAGAACCAUAGUUAGACAAUAAAAGAAUAAGAAGGAGAAUAAGAAGAAGAAGACAAUUGAAAUUCAAAUCCAGAAAACUCUAAUCCUAGAAAAGACAAUUGAAAUUUUACAUAUUGAUAAGGAAAAAUUAACCUUAUUAAUAGAUCUUAGAAACGAGAAGAAAAAUAAAAUAAAAUUGGAUAGGUUGGCAGAGAAUGAAAAAAUUAAUGGGAAUUGGUGGUGUGACCACUUCUAGCCGUCGUUCUCUUCCACCAUCAUAAGAAUAGAUUGCUUCUAGAAUCCGUUGAUAGGGAAUGCUCCAAUGUGUCUCAAUUUCUUUCAUCUUUCCCCCCACUUAUCAUACGAAUAAGUGUAUUGACUUGCCGUCAAAUGUAGUAGUUAGUUCAGGUCAAUUCCACACUUAAAGAGCUUGUUUUCUAAGCAAUUUAGGAUUUUAGUUUACAUUUUCAAUAUUUAGGCUUUAGGAUAGAAAGUUAAGAAAAAUAAGUGAUUUUAACACAUUUGGUAGGUGUUGUGACCCAAUAGGCCGAUAUGGGCAUUAGAUUGUGCUAAUUGGUUUAAAUGAGUUUGUAGGAUAGAUAUAUAAAGGCCCAAUUGACGUGGAAGCAAAGGUCAAGUAGUGCACAAGCUUCCUGGGCCAUCAAAGCACGAAAGGAAUGAUACAAGGUAAUAUUUAGGUGCCGUGUCGCACCACGCAAGUGGUGUGGCGCGAUACAAGGCCGACAUGUUGCCCAAGUUAUAGCCUCUCAAACCCAACCUAGACGUUAUUGCUGAAUCAUGAAUAUUACAUUGGCCAUUGGAAUGACAUGAAAAAACGUUCCUAUUUUAAAUCACUCUUUAAAACCAAUUGUCGUUUUACUUAAGACUAGUGAUCUCAAUUAUUUUCUUUGUUUCAAGAAAAUCAUAUAAUUUCAAAAUCAUUAAGUGUUUUUAGAGUUUCGUUUGUAAAGAUUAAUUAUUUUGAAAAUACUAAGUUAUAUUUGUUAAAAACAAACUUUUAAUUAUUGCAACAAAAAAAAUAUAUUAAAAUCAUAUUGUUGUUAAAAAUUAAUUUUCUAUGUAUUUUAAAUAAAACAUCAGUGAGCAGAUAAAAACUCCAAAUCAUGCAAAUAUAAAAUAAAAAUCGCUAAAUAUAAAGUCUCAUGUCAUAGUCUAUAAGAAAAUCAUUACAGUCCCAAUAAUAAUCAUAUAAUAAAGUUUUAAGUAUUUAAAAUAAACCAUCUGAGAACCCUUGCGAUAGCCACGUCCAAGUCCUAACCUUGGGGAUUAUAUGAAAUCAAAUCAGAAACUAAGCGGUGAGAUAAUAAGCUUAGUGUGAGUCUUAACUUAUAUAGCAACAAUAAUUUAAAACAUACAUUUCAAAAUAUAGCAGAAAAUAUAUAUAAGCAAUCCAAUUUCACAUAUGUCAAUAUGUAUGACAAUGUCGAUGCAGAGUUUUUCAAAAACGUUCCUACCCAACUCCGCUACACACCAUAAAAGAGUUCCACAGGACUCAUCCAUCCAAUAACAUACCAAAAUUGUGAACAAACAACCAGAUGUUGUAGAUAUAUUGCCGGAAUAUAUAGAUAUACCACCAAAAUGUGUAGAUCAUUAGACUACUAGAAAAUUCCUCCUUAUAGUAUAGUCCCAACCCCAUUCAAUGUGAUAUUGCAUAUAGAAAUAGAUAUAUCUCAAAAGGCAUCUUAACAUGCGAUCAUAUUUUGUUAACAAAAAUAGUAGGCAUGGGUUUUCUUUUUAUGCUUAUCAGAACAAAAAUAAUAGUGUCCAUGAUUUAUCAUGAUAUUAGAUUUACUCAAUCAAAAAUUAUUUCAUUUAAUUGAAUAAAAUAGGUGUUAGAACAAACAUAUAAAUUUGUCGAUCAACAAAUAAUUCAACAAAAAGUUUGUAGUCAUAGUACACACCUUAACCCAUUUCAGAACAUUAUAUUGGCAUAAUUGACUAACACAUAUUUAAACUAAAAUUUAAUAUUAAUAAUAUUCACACAACCAAAACUUAAACUUUUUCAUAUGUAAGAACAUAAGGUAAGACACAUACCUCUUUUCGAUCAUCCAAAAUCUUAGAUCUAAAUUGUGGUAUUCUACUGACCCAAAUCUGAAUAUUUAACAUAUGGUAAUAUUUAAGUUAUUACUGUAUUAAAUCUAAUCUUACGAGAUUCAAAUAGAAAACUAAUUUUUUGUUAACACUUACAUUUCUACGGUUAAAUAUAAAUUCCACUCCUUAAAUCACAGAAGAUUGCAUACUUUGACAACAAUACUUCAACCCAAAAACACGAAGUUAGAAUAUAGUAUUUAAUCAUCUCUUUAAAAGUCAGAAAAUGUUGUUGACAUCCAAGAUUUAAAGUACUUAGGAUCUUGAUAAAUAAAAAAUCGAACAUGGUGGUAAGGAUCAUCGAAGAUUAUGAACGACGCCAAAAAUAUCUAAUAUAUCACACAAGUAGAGACAAUGAAUAGAUUUAAGUUACAAAAAAUUGAACAUGGUGGUAAGGAUCAUCAAAGAUUAUGAGUGACGCCAAAAAUAUCUAAUAUAUCACAAAAGUAGAGACAAUGAAUAGAUUUAAGUUAUAAACAUAAAUAAAAAAUGAUAUGUGAAGAAAAAGAAAAUGGAAGAAAAACUAUUGGUGUAUGGUGAUUGCCUACGACGAGUGAAGAUGAUCAUGGAGGCAGACGACAAUAGACAGUGGUAGCGGCUAAGAGGGGUGGCGCAAAGGUGACUCAAAGAAGAAGGACUGGCGUAUGGUGGUGGGAUAAAUGAAAGUCAUAAAAAAAUAAAAGAAAGAGAAGCAAAAAGUAGUUGUGAGCAACCAAGAGGGGCCGACACAGGGAGGUUGAAAGGGAGGAGGAAAGAGAGAAAAAAAGUGUUGCAAGAAUGAAAAACAAAAAAAAAUGCAUGCUUCAUAAGGGUUGGACAACUACACCUAAUCAACACACCACAAUUUGCAAAGAAAGGGAUACAUGGGAAGUAAAAGUUGGAUCAUGAUGGGGACAAAUGGAGUGGACAACGAUAGGGAGUUUAACUCCUUUAUAAGGGAGGAAAGAGUCUCCCUUAUAAGGAAACUAGGAGGGACACAAUUAAAAUUUAAAUGCAAAAAUUUUAAAAAAAGGAGAGGGGAACCAAACUUGGGUCAUAAGGGAGGCUUAGGUUACUCCUAACCACUAGGCUAGAACUCACACUUGUUCAAGGAUUAACAAGAACUAAAUUUAAAUUUGGUCUGACCACUCUACCCUUCUUAAAAAAAAUUUCGUCUGCAAAAUUCACCUGAUCAAAACAGAUAGGGAUAUUGUUGAAGAUUAGAGUCCCCAGGCUCCUAAGUAGAUUCAUCAGUGCCAUGAUUUCGCCAUAACACCUUUACUAGUUGAAUUUUCUUUUUCCUUAAUACCUUAACCUCACUAUCCAAGAUCUAGAUUGGAUCCUCCUCAAAAGAUAAUUUUGAUCUCACCUCGAUUUCCUCAACCAGAACGACAUGAGAUGGGUCAGAUUGGUACCGCAUUAGCAUAGAGACAUUAAACACAUCAUGGAUAUGGUCCAACUCCAAAAGGUAACUCCAGCUUAUAAGCCACCUGUCAAAUUCUCUUAAGAAUCCUAUAAGUUCCAAUAAACCUAGGGCUCAGCUUGCCCUUCUGACCAAACUCAAAACCUUCUUUCAGGACAAUACCUUAAGGAAUAUCUGAUACCUGACACUAAACUCUGCAUCCUUCCUCUUCAAAUCUGCAUAGGAUUUUUGUUGAUCCGGUGCCACUCUCAAUUUUGCCUGAAUUACCUUAACAAUAGCCUCAGUCUUCUGAACUAAAUCCAAACCCAUCAUUUUCUUUUCACCUAACUCAGUCAAACACAAAGAUGUCUAACACCUUUGACCAUACAAUGUCUCAUAGUGUGCCAUAUGAUUGCUUUAUUAAAAGUUGUUAUUAUACACAAACUCUACUAGCGGCAAAUGGUCUUUCCAACUACCUCAAAAAUCGAUUAGACAACCCCUCAACAUAUCCUCAAGAAUUUGUAUUACUUGCCCAGAUUGCCCACCAGAUUGUGGAUGAAAAGUAGUGCCAAAGUCCAAUUGAGUACCAAGAGCCUCAUGCAGCUUUUUAUAAAAUCAAGAUGUAAAACAAGGAUCCUAGUACGGAAUGAUAGGUGCUGAUACCCCAUACAGUUUCAUUAUCUCUGAAAUAUACAAUCUCACUAACUUUUGUAGAGAGUAAUCUAUAUGGACUGGUAGGAAGUGAGCUGACUUAGUCAGUCUUUCCACAAUCAUCUAGAUUGAAUCCUUCUUAGUAGGUGUAAAUGGCAACCCACAAACAAAAUCCAUAGUCACUUUCUCCCAUUUCAAUUGAAGAAUCUAAAUAGGUUGUAACAAGCCAGAAGGGAACGGAUGCUCAACUUUAACUUGCUGGCAUGUUAGACACUUAGCCACAAACUCGGUUACCUCAUGCUUAAGACUUGACCUCCAAUACAGUUCUUUCAAAUCCCACUACAUCUUAUUCCUUUUAGGAAGCAUAGCGUAAGGGCUACUAUACGCUUCCUAAAGGAUAGACUAUCUCAGGUCUUUGUCAUCCGACACACAGUAUCUUCCACGAUAGCACAACACAGCAUCAGAGUCAAACCCAAAGUAUGAAGUCUUACCCUCAUCAAUCUAUUUAAUUCGAGGCAUAAGAGAAACAUUUAGAGGUUGCUUCAUAUUAACUCCUCAACCAUAGUAAGCUUUACUUGUAACUUCACAAGUAAUCCUCCAUUCUUUGACAAACUCAACUUAGCGAACAUCGCUCUCAAAUCGAUCAUUGACCUCCUACAUAGUUCAUCAGCCACGAUGUUAAGUUUCCUCGGAUAUUACUCAAUGGUACAAUCAUAGUCCUUAAGCAACUCUAUCCAUCUCUGCUGCUUUAAUUUAACUCCUUUUGGAAGAGAAAUAACUUAAGGCUCUUGUGAUCCGUGUGAAUGAUACACUUCUCACCAUACAGAUAGUGUCUCCAAAUUUUAAUGAAAAAAAUAAUAACUGCCAGCUCAAGGUCAUGAGUCGAGUAAUUACAUUCGUGCGGUUUAAGUAGUCUCAAUGCAUAGGUUACUAUCUUACCAUAUUGCAUCAGCACACAACCAAGACCGGUAUGGGACGUAUCACUAUAAACCACAUAAUCCUUCCCAGACUUGGGUUGAAUCAGAGUUGGUGCUUGAGUCAACAUGAACUUAAACUUCUCAAAACUAGCUUGCUGCUCCUUAGUUCAUUUAAAACGAGCACUCUUCGUCAACAGCUUAGUCAUAGAAGUCACAAUGAGUGAAAAUCCUUCCAAAAACCUCCAAUAAUAACCAGCUAAUCCAAGGAAACUUUGGAUCUCACUAACAUUCUUAGGUCGCUUCCAAUCCAAGAUGGCCUUAGCUGAUACCAUAUGCCUCAAAAACAUCACCUUUUAGAGCUAGAAUUCACACUUACUCAGCUGAGCAUAAAGCUUCUUCUCACAGAGGAUCUAUAAAACAACCUUCAAAUGUUCAUCGUGCUCAAAUUCAGGCUUAGAGUAGAUCAAAAUGUUGUCAAUGAAGAUAAUAACAAAAUAGUUAAGGGAAGGCUGAAAUACUUAGUUCAUUUAGUCCAUAAGAAUAGUUGGAGCAUUCAUAAGACCAAAUGCCAUCACUAGGAACUCAUAGUGACCAUACCGAGUACUGAAUGCGAUUUUAGGUGCAUCAGAUUCCUUCACCUUCAGUUGAUACCUUAAGUCAAUCUUAGAAAAUGUCGUGACACCUCUGAAUUGAUCAAAUAAGUCAUAUUUCCUUAGUAGAUAAUACUUAUUCUUUGUAGCCACCUUGUUCAGUUGCCAGUAAUUGAUAUAAAGUCUCAUAGAUCCAUAUUUCUUCUUAAGAAAUAAGAUGAGAGCUCUCCAUGGCCAAACACUCGGUUUUAGGAAACCACAGUCCAAAAGUUUCUGAAGUUGAACCUUAAGCUCCUUACACUACUUAGGUGCCAUACAGUAGGGAUCAAUGGUCACCUAAGUAGUCCCAGGCAACAAAUUUAUCCUAAAUUCAACCUCUUGCUCCUAAGGUAAUCGAGGCAACUCUUUUGAAAAAAUGUCGAAAAAUUCACUCACGGUAUGAAUACCUUCCACAACUGAUCCACUAACAAUCAUGUCUAGAACGUAAGCCAGAUAAGCUUUGCAUCCCUUAUAAAGAAACUUUUCAGCCACUAAAGUGGAGAUCACCAUAGAUAAGUAAUCUUUACAAUACUGAUCUCCUUACCAACAGAUGUCUUCAAAGUGACCCUCUUCAAAGCGUAAUCUAAACUGGCUUGGUGUUUCAUGAACCAGACCAUACACAAAAUGUAACCCUUCGAACCCGGUGUAGACAUUAUGCUCGAAUCGUGAAAGUCACAUAGGACACCUAAACUAUGAUUCUAUCCUAUCGACGGUUGAAAACUUUAAAUACACUCUCUUUUUAGUAAAACCGCGGUUACCUUGGUUAUUUUGAGAAAAAAGGUUUAUUAUAAGAUCCAAUAUUUAUUAAGUUAGGUUUGAAGCACUAACAUGGUUUUUGGAAAACUCUUUUCAGAUCGUUGCUUUUGAAAAAUAACUUUGAUUAUCUUUGUUGCAACAAAAAAACCAAAUAAAAAUCCCAAUUAUUAAUUAAGCAAAGUAACAUGCUUAAUUCAGUUUCAAUAUAUAAUAAUAAGUCAUUCUCAUGUGUGAAGUUAUGCAUGCAUAAAAAAUCCCUAAAAUAGAAACAGUCCCAAACCACAGUUCAAAUCAGUUUACAGUCCAAAAAUCUAAAUAAAUUUAAGGAAACUUUAAAUAAUAAUUCAAUAAAAAUAAAUAUGAAGUCUGGACUCCGUCAUACAUCCACAUACCAAAUUCGGUCCUAGUUUCGUUCAUUACCUGAGAAGUUGAAGUUAUGGAGUGAGCUUAACAAGCUCAGUGUGAGUCUAAACAACCAAGCAUAUUAUAUACAUUCAAGCAUUUUCUUAUGGAACCAAAUAACACAAUAAAACAUCAAUAGUAACAUUUUUAUGUAAAAUGAUCAAGACACAAUGUACAUGUGAGUUCCUACCCAAACCAUCUGCUACACACCACAAGUUGCCCAGAACCCGUUUGCCAAACUCCAACGAAUUCGAGCAAAGCUCGAUGUGGUGAAAACCAUUGAAUAAAAUAAAGGAAAAAAUCUGUCGAAUAACAAAUAGUGCGAUAAAAUCGCCAUUCCCCUCGGUACUUCUAGUGCAGUGCGCUGACUACAAAAUAAAUGUAGACUUAAUAUGACGCCAGCACUCCACGGAACUCCUCUAUCAACCACAAUAAGUACCCAUCCCAAUGCACAUGCAGUAUGUCACACAAUCUCAUACAUAACCAUAAUUCAAUACUUUCACAUUUAAUUGGCAUGUUGAAGACGCCCUAAAUUACAAAAUAAUUUCAAUGAAUGGAAUUGAUAAUCCAACUUUCAGUUUACCAUUAAAAUGGUAUCAUUCAACAGAUCACAAUUUCAUAUACUUGUACGAACUUUUCAUUGUGCAUGUAUACCAAUAUUUCCAAUAUUUCAUAGCAAUUCUUUCAUACAAAUAUAUCAUGCAUAAAUUUCAAAAAAAUCAUGCUAUACAUACCACCAAUCAUAUAUCAAAUAGAUCAAUCAUUCAUCACCAUAUCAGUCACGUAAUUAUACUGUCAAACUAGAAACUUUGCUAACAUGUCAAGUUGUUAGGGCUCGAAACGUACUUGGUUCGACCACUCACAAAUUUAAUUACUUAGCUAUUAAGCCAAGCCCGAUCAGCAAGCUAAUCAAUUAAAUCAUAAUAAUUAUUAUUACCAAUCAAGUUAUUGAGUUUAGGACUCAUACCUUAUUUUACGCUUUUUUGCAACACACUAGCGAAUCUUACGGUUAAUCUAAUAAACUUUAAAACGAACCUAAAUUAAAAUUAGUAUAAAACUCAAUCAAUACACCUCUUAAAUAGACCCUAAACACACAAUUAUGGGUUUGAUCCAAAUCCUCACAAUUACAACUAUUUUUCGAAUGCAAACUAGUUAGAUUUCUUACACUAAUUUGAGGCAAAUUGUAGGCACAAACAUCUUUCGGAUUUAGUACUAAUUUGGGGCAUUUAAUUCGGCACCUAACAUAUUUAAUUAUUUAAAAUAAGUUUCUAAUAUAUGAUUAAAAAUUUAUUAUCAAUUAAUAAGUUUUCCCAAUAUCUAAACCGAAACUAUUCACUAGUUUGCAAUUAACCACACUUAUACUUCCCGAAUUGUCAAAUCUAAAUUGUCUAUUGAUCAAUAUCAAUUUUCCCUAAUUAAAAAAUGUUUAAAGGCUGAUUAGGAGAGGUUCAAGAACUCAAGAUAAUGGUGGAAAAAUAUGGGAAAUAAAUACAUAAAACAACCCCCUUUUCUUGCUCAUAGGCACGCGCACUGCUACCCACGGUGGCCAAAUUGGGGCUAAUUUAAAAGCACUUUUCAGAUCAAUUAAAAAGCUAGAAAAUACCCAUCAAAUAUUUAAAAAUCCCCAAAAUUCUAGAUCUGAAAAUUUAGGUUUUUCUUUGACAAUAUUUAUCAAGAAAUUGGUAGAAAAUGAGAUCUUAUACAAGCUAGAUGAUGGAAUCGAUCUUGAAGAUUCAAGAUUUCAAAUUUGGGGCCGAAUAUAUUAGGGAAAAAUGGGAGCAAGCUGGUGGAGAAGUUGAUCAAAAUCUUGUGGAAAAAAGAAAAUAAAAAUAUGAUAAAUGAAAGUUAUUGGCGGCAAAAACAAUGGAGGAAGAAAGAAAAAUAAAAUUGAGAGGAGGAGGAGAGGAUGAGAAGGAUGGCUAGAGUGGAAAAAAUAAAAUUAAAGGCUGAUCAUUUUGUGUAAAAAUAAUAUUUAUACCUUGAUUUAUAAGGGUAUGGACGACACAGUCAUUCAAAAUUUAAUUAUUUGCAAUGGAAAGGAUUUGAACUUGAGACAUUUUAAUUUCCAUGCUUUCUCAUUUAACAACUAACCACUGAGCUAACUUCUAAUUUUUUAUAUAAUUCUACAUUCUCAUUAAGCUAAAAUUUGAGAUGUUACACCAUACCCAAUAUUAGAUCAAAUUCCACGAAAGGCAACUCCAUCAGACCUGCAAGAAAUAUUUUCCCCUGAACUUCGAACGGGUAUCUCCUAUAAAUCUUAUUCAAAGUAACAAACUGUCCUAAAGGAUUGUCUAUAGUUACAUCAGUAAUAGUUUCUUUUACCUAUAUCCUCAGUUUAUCAGGCACCAAAUAGGAAACACACGAGUGUGUAGAUCCAAUAUCUAUCAAAGCGAAGUACUGAACAAAAUUAAUUGUAAAAGUACCUGUUAUGACAUCAAAUGCAUCAUGAUUCUCUCUAUGGUAGGCCGUAUAAACAAGUGCAAGCUAUCUGGCAUUAGUCUGAUCUACACCAUGACCUGGUGCUCGUUGUCCCUGCCUAACAUUACCGCCUCUAUCCUGACCUUGACCCCUCUGAGGCUGCUAUCCAGGACUUUGAUUUUGAACUUUGUUCUGCACUAGUGCUUGCAUCUUAUCAUUAUGACGCGAACAAUAUUUAUUCUUAUGGUCUAUAGACCCACAUCUCAAACAGGCACCCAUCCUUCUCCAACAAUCACUUGGAUGUUGCUUACCACAAGAAGCAUAGUUCUGAAUCCUGCCUCCAGUACCGACUAGCACAGUACUCUGCCAAGGUCUAUCAUCUUUGGCCAGCUUAAUGGGUCGCGAAGGCAUGGCAGUGGGACCAACAUCCCUCUUAGUAUGGGCCUUAGCAUUUUUUCUCAUCUCACACUCCACACUCUUAACUUCCUAAACAAUAUUGGUUUUCUCCACAAAAUUUUUGAAAACCCUCUCUUGGUGUAGGGUGACGUGGAUCAUCAAAUCAUACCGUAACCCAUUUUCAAAUCUAAUACACUUAUCCUACUUUGUCGCAACCAUCCCCUAAGCAUACCGACGGAGCCUUAAGAAUUUGGCCUCAUACUUAGCCACAGACAUGUGUCAUUACUUCAACUUAAUAAAUUCAUGCCUUUGGGCUUCAACAUAUCUAGUGUCCAUGUAUUUCUUAUGGAAUGCUUCUUGGAAAUAGUCUUAUGUCAAUCUCUCCUCCUACGUAUCUUUCAUGAUAGAUUGCCACCAUCGAUAAGCCUUGUCACUUAACAACAAUACUGUAACCUUCAAUUUCUUCUUGGGGUUACAAUCCAUGUCAUCCAAAAAUUUUUCAGUAGCCUCCAUCCAAUACUCAGUGUAACACCGCUAACCCGUAUCCGACCCCGAAACCGUGUUAUAAAGUAUUACCGGACUUAUAGUUCAAUCAAUCAAACUUUUCAUGUACAUUUCUUAUUUAAUUCAAAAUAAACCAUUCAUAGACAAUCAUAUGGCCCCUAAUACGAGCCCUCAAAGCCCAAAAUAAACAUUAAAAGUGGUUUAGGACUAAACCGAGUACUCAAGAAAUUUUUAGGAAAACAUGGAAAAUUUUCAAAGUGCAGGGGACACACGCCCGUGUGGCCAGGCCAUAUGUCUCACACAACCAAGAGACACACCUGUGUCUUAGGCCGUGUGGGCAUUCGAAAUGAGGACACAUGGUCAUGUCUGAGCCCGUGUAACUCAUUGACUUGGGUCACACGGCCAGACCACACGCCCGUGUGCCAGGUCCUCUGCUAGGUCGUGUAAAACCAAGAGGGUAUACUGACUUGUGCCACAUGGCCAAGCCACAUGCCUGUGUGCUCGGCCGUGUGAAGCUACUAACUUGGUUUCUAAGAAAGUUACAGGGGACACACGACCAUGUCACCUGGCCAUGUGUCACACACAGCUGAGACACACUCCCGUGUCUCUGCCCGCGUGGACAAAAAUAGGUCAUUUUCAAGCCAUAUUUCUCACCCAAAAUUGGUACCAACCUACACACAUCAAUAUGCAUAUAACCAUGGCAUAAAUAGGCAUUCAAAACCAACCAAUGUCAAGUUAAUAACAUGUAAUAAUAUCACAUACUAUCAUGAUAAAUAUAGGCAACUCCAAUGGCCACUCAUAAUCAUGCAAACCUAAUUGGUCAAACACAUAUAUGCAAACUUUGUGCCUAAAAACCUAACACGUAUGCUACUUAUAAAUCUCAACCAUUUGGUACCCAAAAUACCAAUUCACAACCAAGUCAUUCACAUAGCAACCAUACAUCAUAUACUAUGAGACCAUUUAUAUAUAUAUACAUACCAAAAUACAUGACCACCUUUCAAGCCAAUUCAAAUGGCCAAAACUCAACGAGACAUAUAGGCCACAUUAGCAAAAAUACCUAUACAUGCCAUUUAACCAAAAUAUAAAGUCCAAACGGAAAAAUAAACGGAGUAAGCAAUUAAGCUCAGUAAGUUCGUAAAACAUAGAAUAAAACAUACCGUAUUACCACAAAUUUAGGUAAAUAACUCAAAGCAUAAAUCAAUUCAAUUUUUGCCAAAGCCUAUCACAAAACCAUUCACAAAGUUAGCCAUGUAUACACAUAAAAACCAAGAAUCAUGUAUGAAUUCAACAAUUAUUAAUGUACAUGUAGCAUCUCUACCGUAUAUCUGUAUAUCAUAUAUAUAAAAUCCAUCUCCAUGUAAAUACAUGUACUAGUUCAUAUUGAACUUAUAUUAUCUUGUAAUAACAUUAUGCUCGUUGAACCACUUAGAGUACACGCGAGGUGUACUGAACUGUAAUAUGUCAAUUCCUAUACAUGUAGGCUCAUACGAGCGAUAAAUGGUAAGCUCUUCUGAGCUGAAUAUCAGAAAGCUCCUACGAGUUGCAAAUCAGUACGCUCAUACGAGUUGUGGUGAGUCCGUAACACAUGGAGGACCUCAACCAAAACAGUAACCCUAAUGACAUGUCAUUUGUAUCCUACGAAUUUUUAAGGUUCAAACGAGGUUCGAUAUUCUUCGUACAUUGUCAGUUAUGUAGUUGAUAAUUAUACAUAAUAAUUAAACUAAUCAUAUACAUAUAUAUUUCAAUUAAAACAUAUAACUACAUAAUGCAUUUACACGAAGUUACCUCAAACUCAAACAGAGAAUACGAUCGUUUAAUCCACGACUUUAUUUUUUCCCCGAUUUAGUUCCGAAUGUUGUUUUUCUUGAUCUAUAUAAUCAAAUUUAACUCAUUUAAUCAUAUUUCUAAUUAAUUUAAUCCAAAUUUCAUGUUAUGGAAAAAUUACCAUUUUACCCCUAAACAUUUGACUUUUUUACAAUUUAGUCCUUAAACUCGAAAAUGAAAUUCAUGAAAAUUCACUACACAUCACAAAUUUACACAUUUAACACACAAAAUUCACAUUGUUCAAAUUACCCCUAAUUGGGAAUUUCAUUAAAACUCACUAAACAAAAGUUGCUUAAUUAACAACAAUGAUUCAUUUUCUUGCAUUAAACUUCAAGAACAACAAGAAUGCUCUCAUAGCAAAACCCUAGACUUUCAACCAUUUUGAAAAUUAAUCCCCUAAUUAGCUAGGUUAAGCAACAACGAUUCCAAAAAAAAUAAAAAUCAACAGAAACAAACAUCAAAUUCACUUACAUGCUAUGGGUUUAUUGUAACACCCCAUACCCGACCCAGACGUUAUGGUCGGAUCCAGCGAUGUCACAUGAUAGGGUGUUUGAAAAUCAUUUCUUCGCGUUAAAACCAUUUCCAUUGAAUAUCUUAUCUUAAUAUCUUAUUAAAUCCAAAAUUGUGUUGCUCAUUUGAUCGAUAGUUUCAAAACGUUAUUCGUUUGCAGAAGCUUUUAAAACAGAUUAAAUAAUCGUGCAUUUAGGAAAAAGAUUUGUUUCUUUUGAAAACUGAGGUUUCAUACUACUAGCAGUUGUAAUCCAUAAGGUAAAGAUAAUUAAAAUCCAAAACCAAAGUCCAGAAGUCCAAUUACAACCUAAAAACUUAGCUAGUAAAAAUAGAAUAGAAAUAAAACCAAUUAUCGUAAAUAUGAGUUAAAAACCAUGAAAGUCCAAAACUAUGGUCACUGCCGCACCGAUCUGUCUAGAUCUGGGGAUUACCUGUGAACAUUUAAACAAAAGGGGUAAGUUGACGAAAACUCAGUGUGUAAUCCCAUAGAAAAUAAGCAAUAACAAAUCACAGUGCCCAGUUAAAGCAGUUCUAGGCCUAAGCCUUUUUUCAGUAUCAGAAACAGUUUGGGCCUUAGCCCAUCUCAGUACAAUAUCAAAUAUGCAGUAUGGCCUUAGCCCAUCACAGUAUCAGUAGCAGUCAUGCAAUAUUCAGCAACAAAGUCCUACCCAACCAGCCUCUACACACCAUCUCCGUUCAACCCUACACUCCAUGUGGGGAUCAAAUCAACCCACCCAUCCUUACACUCCAGGUAGUAUCGAAUGCAGUACAAAACAAUAAUUUGCAGCUAAGCUGCCAGUGUGUUAGACUUAAGAGCCUUCCAGUACACUUCCUCCAAAUAUAAUUAACCCACCCCCAUGCAAUGCAACAUACAAGUCAUGACAUGCUAUCUUAAGACAUUAGUACAUAAAACCAGUUCAGUAUACAAGCAUACUAUCAUCAUGCUCAACACAUAUAUAAAUCAAAUAGUCAGUUCGUACAAUUAGGGGUCUAAGUGAUGCUUACCGACCCUACAGUAGGUUCCCAGUAAACUUGGGCUACCCUUGCAACCUUAGCAAUCAAUUCAAUGAAAAUGGGCUCACACACCCAUGUGAUCUACCCGUGUAGGCCCACACGCCCAUGUGGCCCACUCGGCCAAAUUGGUUUUCGCUGCAUGGUCCAUUUUUAAUGUAACUCGUGCUAGCUAAAUAAUCAUAUAUGUUUCCACUAUUUAUUUACAUGUUCCUUCAAAUUUGUCUACUUGAGUCACUAUUACUAAAUUAUUUAUAUCUUGAGCUACAGAAUUCCAAAGUAAGGUACGCUUGAUGUAUUUGAAACUAGACUCAAAUACCUUUCUACAAUAAAAUUUUCAGAAUUUUUGGUUCAGCCACUAAGUACAGUAAAAUCUUUAAUCUUACCCCUGUUCUACUGUCUGACAGUUUCAACCUUUCUUUGCAAAAAAUUAAUUAUCUCUUAGUACAAAAUUUGGGUGAUGUUACCAUUUGUUUUUAUUAAAAUAGACUCAUUAAUAAUUUAAACAUGUAAAUUUUAACCCCUAAUUAUUUUUCUCCAAUUUUUGAUGAUUUUCUGAAUUUAGAAUAGGGGAACCCGAAUUCAUUCUGACCUUGUCUAACAAAACUUAUUAUAUCUCACGAUUUACAAUUCCAUUACUUAGACCAUUUAUUCUAUGAGAAACUAGACUCAAUAAUCUUUAAUUCCGUAAUUUUUGGUGAUUUGUCAAAGUUAGCCUAGUACUGUUAUCCAAAUAACAAGCAAUUUUAGCUUUUCGCCGAAUCUCAUUUUUCUGCGUUUCGGUUAACCACCGGUUCCGGUUUGACGUGUAGACACUCCCAAGACACUCAAAACCAAGAAUUGACAUUCCCAAACAUAGAGUCAAAUUUUAAUCGAGUUUUUAAAAUGCAAAUACGAAUGAACAUAACGCUAAUCAAGCGACCAAUGCUUACCCCACCACCCUUAGUGAUUUCAAUUACGAGGUGGCACGAGAAAGGCUCUAUUCUUCUCAAUUUUUUGCUGUCCAAAACAGAAAAUCAUAACCUUUAGUCGGUAAUCGAAUGUGAAAACUACAAUAACUUAAGUCACUUACCAAAUGGGGAAAACGCAGCGAUCAAACAGAAUCCCGAACAAGGAUACACGUCUUGGUCAAAAUAAUGAAAGGAAGAAAAAGCGAUUUGCUAACACAAAAAGAAAGAAAAAAGGCAGAGGAUAAUUCGAUUGGGGGAAUGGAAGGGAAGACGUGCAGAUUUUUUUUGGGAAAAAAAUAAAAAAGAAAAAUAAAAGACUAACAGAAUAUUCGAUAACCACCCUUAAUCUCUUAUUUUUCUCAUAAAAACAGUCCACCACACUCCCACUAUCUCUCAAACUCCCCAAAAACCGUCCACCAUAUUCCCUCAACAGUUGAAUUCAAACUUCACUCAAACACUUCAGUAUUUUACUUCCCUUCAAACUCCCACACGACAUAGAUAACAAAAAAAUAACUCCCUUGCAUGCAUAGGGAUUCGAACUCCAGACCACCAACAUAUUAGCACUCACCUAACCAUUAGACUAGUAGGCCCAUUCUGUUAUAUUCUUAUAACCAAACAAAUACAAGCCUACUGAACAAGAGUGAGGCUUUAUUCAGAAAUAUUCCAAAAUUUUGCCAAAGGCAUGGCUUCAAUUUAGGACCUCAUACACAUACCUAGAACACUUAACCACUGAAGCAAACAGAUACUUGCGUCAUAUUUUUACAAAAACAAAAAUAUACAUUUUGGGGACAUUACAACUCUACCCCCUAAAAGAAAAUUUCGGCCUCGAAAUUUACCUGAUCAAAACAAAUAAGGAUAUUGCUGAUGCAUCGUAUCCUUAGGCUCCCACAUGGCCUCCUCAGUUCUAUGAUUACGUCAUAGAACGUUCACCAAAAGAAUAGACUUCCUCCUUAGAACCUUUACGUCAUGAUCCAAAAUCUGGACAGGCUCCUCCUCAAAGGUCAAAUCUGGCCUAACCUCAAUCUCCUCAACAGGGACAAUAUGAGUAGGAUCAGAGUGGUAACGCCACAACAUAGAGACAUGGAACACAUUAUGGAUACGAUCCAAUGUUAGAGGUAACUCCAACUGAUAAGCAACUGGUCCCACUUGCUUUAGAAUACGGUAAGGUCCAAUAAACCUAGGGCUCAACUUGCCCUUACGACUAAACCUCAAUACAUUCUUCCAUGGUAAGACCUUGAGAAACACGAAGUCCCCCACAGAAUACUCGAUCUCACACCUCUUCAAAUCCACAUAAGGUUGCUACCUGUCAGAAGUCGAUUUCAAAUAAUCCUGAUUCAAUCUAACCUUAUCCUCUGUCUCAGAGACCAACUUAGGACCCAGAACACGUCACUUACCCAACUCAGUCCAACAUGAAGGAGUGCGACACUUACGACAAUACAGUGCCUCGUAAGGUGUCAUCUGGAUACUAGACUGGAAGCUAUUAUUGUAGACAAACUCCGCUAACAGUAAGUACUCCUCCCAACUGCCUCGAAAAUCACUAACACAGCUCCUCAACAUGUCCUCCAAUAUCUGAAUCACCCUCUCUGACUGACCAUCUGUCUAAAGAUGGAAAGCAGCACCGAAGUCUAAUCUUGAACCCAGAGCUUCAUGAAGCUCCUUCUACAAUCGAGAUGUGAAACGAGGAUCUCUAUCGAAAAUGAUCGAGACAGGUACCCCAUGCAGUCUCACUAUUUUCGAUACAUGGAGCUUAGUUAAUUUCUAAAGAGAAAAAUUGGUCCUUACCGGGAUGAAAUGAGCAGACUUGGUCAUUUGAUCCACGAUGACCCAGACAGAAUCCUUCUUAGUGAGUGUUAGAGGCAACCUACUAAUGAAGUACAUCGUUACUCACUCCGAUUUCCAUAACGGUAUCUUAACCAGCUGCAGCAAACCCGAAGCUAACUGAUUCUCAGCCUUAACUUGCUGACAGGUCAAACAGCGAGCAACGAAGUCAGUAACCUCACGCUUCACCCCUGACCACCAAUACAAUUCCCAAAGAUCUCGGUACAUCUUGUUCCCGUCGGGAUGCAUAGGAUAGGGACUACCAUGCGCCUCUCUCAGAAUCGACUGCCUUAAAUCCUCAUCAUUUGGUAUACAAAUCUGACCACGGAAACAAAGUACCCCAUCACUUUUUAUCCCAAAGUCAGUAGUGCAACCAUUCUCAACCUAACAAAAACACAACCUGAGAGACUUAUCCCCCAACUAUUUACCUUGAAUCUAUUCAAUCCAUGUUGGUUUGACCUAAAGUUUUGCCAACAGACUUCCAUCGUCGAAUAGGCUAAGUCGAGCGAACAUUGCUCUCAGAUCAGUCAUAGCCCUACGGCUCAACGCAUCAGCCACCACAUUGGCCUUGCAAGGAUGGUACUCAAUGGUACAGUCAUAAUCCUUAAGCAGCUCAACCCAUCUUCACUGCUGUAGAUUCAGUUCCUUCUGAGUAAGGAGAUACUUGAGGCUUUUGUGAUCAGUGUAGAUGAUACACUUCUCACCAUACAAAUAAUGCCUCCAGAUUUUGAAUGCAAAGACUACGACAGCCAACUCUAGAUCGUGCGUCGAAUAGUUCACCUCAUGUAUCUUAAGCUGACGAGACGCAUAUGCAACUACCUUUCCAUCCUACACCAACACACAUCCCAAACCAACAUGUGAUGCAUCACUAUAAACCGUAAACUGCUUUCCAGGUUCAGGCUAUACCAAAACAGGAGCCUAAGUCAGUACAGUCUUAAGCUUCUCAAAGCUUUCUUGCUGCGCAUUAGUCCAGUCAAACGGUACACAUUUACAUAAUAGCGUAGUCAAGGGUGCUGCGAUCAGUGAAAAUCCUUCCACAAACCAUCAGUAAUAACCUACCAACCCCAAAAUGCUGCAAGUCUCACACACAUUCUUAGGCUGCUUCCAAUCCAAUACAACCUCAAUUUUUUGAGGAUCGACUCGAAUCCCCUCAGUAGACACCACAUGACCUAGAAAUAUUACUUCAGGUAACUAGAACUCGCACUUGCUAAACUUAGCAUAUAGCUACUUUUCCCUCGAAAUCUAAAGAACAAUCCUAAGGUGCUCAUCAUGCCCAUCUUCAGUCCUCGAAUAAACCAAUAUGUCAUCGACAAACACCACUACAAACUGAUCCAGGUAGAGCCGAAACACUCGGUUCAUCAGAUCCAUGAAAGCUACCAGUGUAUUAGUCAGUCCAAAUGGCAUUACUAUGAACUCGUAGUGACCAUAACGAGUCCUAAAUGUCGUCUUAUGCACAUCAGCCUCCUUAACCCUCAACUGAUGAUACUUAAAACGUAAGUUAGAUUUAGAGAACACAGACGCCCCUCGAAACUGGUCAAACAAAUCAUCAAUCCUUGAAAGGGGAUACUUGUUCUUAAUAGUCAACUUAUUUAGUUGUCGGUAGUCGAUACAUAUCCUUAUGAAUCCAUCCAUUUUCUUAACAAACAGUAUUUUACUUCCCUUCAAACUCCCGCAUGGCACAGAUAACAAAAAAAAUCCUAAACUGACAGAAAUAAAAAGAAAAGAUUGACAGAAUAUCCGAUAACCACCCUUAAUGCCUUAUUUUUCUCUUAAAAUCAGUCCACCACACUACCACUAUCUCUCAAACUCCCCAAAAACCGACCACCACAUCCAUUCAACAACCGAAUUCAAAAUUCACUCAAACACUUUAGUAUUUUACUUCUCUUCAAACUCUCACACGAUACAGAUAACAAAAAAAAUAACUCCCUUGCAUGCACAGGGAUUCAAACUCCAGACCAUCAACAUAUUAGCACUCCACCUAACCACCAGACCAACAGGCCUAUUCUGUUAUAUUCUUACAACCAAACAAAUACAAGCCUACUGAACAAAUGUGAUGCUUUAUUCAAAAAAUUUCCAAAACUUUUCCAAAAGAAUGGGUUGAACUUGGGACCUCAUACACACACCUAGAACACUUAACCACUGAAGUAGACAUAUACUUGUGUCAUAUUUUUUCAAAAACAAAAAUAUAUCUUUUUGGGGCAUUACAUUUUUGUUGCUGAAGUUUCAAGUUGUAUAAUGGCUCUAAGUUACUGAAAUUUUAAGCUCUAUAAUGUCUCUAACUUGCUGUGGAAAUUUCAUGAGGAAGAUGGCCAUUUGUUUUGUUUUGUUUUAUUUAAUUUACUUUUAAUUACCUAAUUACCAUUUUACCCUUACCUAACAUUAAAAAUUACUUAAUUACCAAGCCAUGCACACGCACUAACUUAUUUAAUGGUAUAUUUACCAUAUAAGGACCUCCACUUUAAAGUUCUAUAGCUAUUUAACACUUUUAGCUAAUAGAACACAACUUUCUCAAUUUAUGCAAUUUAGUCAUUUUUCACAAAUUGAGCAUACAAAAGAUAAAAUUUCUUAACGAAAUAUUUAUGCAAAAUACUAUCAUGUUGUAAACCAAAAAAUAAUAUUAAAAUAAAUUUUAUGACCUCAGAUUUGUGGUCCCGAAGCCACUAUUAUGAUUUCACUAAAAGUGAGUCGUUACACUUAGAUAUGGUAGGGAUGUCACAGCAACACUCCUAAACAACUCGACUCCAUUAGAUCGAAGCUUCUCAAUAAUGGUCCAAUGACUACAAGAUUCGUUUUGGGAUUCAACCACUCAUUGAAGCACCUUAAGCAUGGCCUACGAUACAACAUCUUUAGUAGGCUCCUGAUGACUACCUUUAGCUGUAGUUGCAUUCUCAACAUGCUUGGGCACAAGCUCAGGUGUACCCACUUGAGAUGCAGAUGAUGCAAUUUGGCUAUCGCAACAUUGUGCUUCAUGGGCUCCCAUGCCACAAGUUCAUACACAUCGAAUGUUCAUUUCAUUAUCGCGAGUCUAAGUUAUUGUUAUUAAUCCUGAGUGUUUUUAGUGUAAUAGUUUACUAAAAGUUCACAAUCUAUAGUCUUUCUAUAGUUUUAGUAAUAAAAGUUCUUAUCUAGGAUCGACUUCGGACUAUCGAUUUUUUGUUUUGAAAAAAAUAAGUACAAAUUUAUUGAACAACCGAAAUGUGCAACUGUAUACAAUCAUAACAAGUAAUAAAGUGAUAAGUAUAUCGAGUUAUCAUCUCCAUAGGGACUGAAUAAGCAAAUAUCUAUGAAAUGUAUAAUUACACAAAUUGGAAGUAGAAAAAUAUUUUGAGGAAAGUCAGUUAUUAUCUAGACUAAAAAUUAACCAAGUAACAAAUUAAAUUAAAUUAAAUUAAAAACACAAGGGGAAAGCAAAUCAUUAACAAGUUUAAUCAAUAUGACAUAGUUGUGUUAGAUUAAUUUUAUUCUUUAACUUAGAUUAUUAAAACAAUGUUUAUGAUGUUACGAACAAUUCCAUGACAAUUUGGUCUUUUGUUAACCAAUACAAACAUACUUAUUAAAAUCAAUUAAUUUUUCUAGCAUAUGUCUAUGUCAAAUUAAUUAAUUAAUUUUAAUAAGUAGACAUAAUACAAAGUGAAGUAACAAUAUAUUUUUAUACUAAAACAAAUUUAAUCACUACCAUCUUUAGGUUAUGCAAGGUAAUAAUAUCGAUUAAUACUAUUACUCAUUUAAUCUAAUUUUACACUUAAGUAGAUUAAACAUGCACCAAUUAGAUAUUUUGUCAAUUAAUUAUAAUUUCAUUUUGAUUAAAUAGUUAAUUCAAUUCCAAAAUUACAUUUAGAAUUCAAGAACAUAGGAAUGAAUUUAUCUAAUUCAACAAAUUACUACGGUCUGUAACACCACAAACAUGAUUUCAACAAUUUAAGUAGACAGAAUCUAAUCAAUCUAACACAAACAUAAUUUAAGUCAUUUUAAUUAAAUUGGAAGCAUCAAAACAAUUAACAUUCAUGCUCAUGAUCUCAAACAAAUUAAAAAGAAAUAAGAGAAUGAAAUUAUAAGACAAAUUCAAUGUUUCUCCGAAGUCAGACCAACGUGCAUCCCUGUCGCUCUACUUUUUUUUGUUGACCAAGGACCUUCAAGAAUGUCAAAUUUUGUUGCUUCAAAAUGCUUUCAAGGCUAUUUUUCAAGAGAGAAAAAUUGGAAAUGGGAGAGCAAAUAAGAGAAGAUGGAUAAGAGGAAAAGAUGAAUGGUGAGUGAAUGAGUGAAUGAGUGAUGAAAUGGAAGGCAUGGAGGGUUGCUAUUUAUACUCGUUUGAGGAGGCUAAAAAUAGCAUGGGAGAGCCUUGAUUCUCUCCUCCCAUGGUCUGCCCUUGAUAUUAGGUAGAGAGGUUGGGAUGACUUUGCUAAAUAUGGUUUGGUGCCAUAAAGGGAAGGCUUGAAAAGUGGAAGGGUUGGAAUUACUUUGUGAGAGAGUUUAAGGGCUAUUUUAAAAUUAUUUUAAUGAGAUUUAGGCAAGGGCUGGACUGUUUUGCUUUGCUUCAUGGGCUCGUCCUUCUUCCAUCCUCAAUUGGUCCUUAAGGGCCUUUCUUUCUACAUCAGGUUGUCCAGAUUUAUUGACCGAAAUUUACAUUGACUCAAGAUAAUUUUUAGAGAGUAUGAGAAUAUUAAUUUGGGAAGUCCAUGGAUGUUAAAUUAUGAGCUAAUGCUUCGAAGAUGCUUUAGCAUUUAAAUCCUCCUAAGGUGACUUCAAGGUUAAUUUUAAUUCCAUUGCACAAAACCUCUCGAAAUUGGUAGAAUUAUAUAAUUUAAUAUAAGAAUAGCUAAAAAAUCAAGAUGUGUAUUAAAUUAUAUCCAAUUUAGUUAUUUUAUAAUGAAAGAAAAAAAUUUUAUAGAAAAUACUUAGAAUUUGCAUGAAGUAAUUAUGAGAAAGUGCUGAAAAAGUCUAUAUAUAUUAGUGUUUCCACUUUUGUAAAAUAAAAUUUACCUGUGGCAUGGUUCCCAAAAUACCCUAUUUAAAAUAUGCUCACAGGUUUAAGAAAAAUCACUUAAUGUAACCUCCUAAACCCAACCUAUAUGUUAUGGCCGAAUCUUGAAAAUUACAUUGGCCAUUGGAAUGGCAUUAAAAAACACUCCUAUUUUAAAUCACUCUUCAAAACCAAUUUCCAUUUUAUUUAAGACUGGUGAUCUUAAUUAUUUGCUUUGUUUUAAGAAAAUUGUAUAAUUUCAAAAUCAACAAACAAUUUCAGAGUUUCAUUUGUAAAAAUCAAUUAUUUCAAAAAUACUAAGUUAUAUUUGUUAAAAACAAAAUUUUAAAUAUUGCAGUAAAAAUGUAUUAAAAUCAUAUUAUUGUUAAAAAUCGAUUUUUUAUGCAUUGUAAAUAAAACAUCAGUCGGUAGAUAAAAACUCCAAAUCAUGAAAAUAUAAAAUAAAAAUCCCUAAAUAUAAAGUCCCGUACCACAGUCCAUAAAAAAACAUUAUAGUCACAAUAAUAAUGAUAUAAUAAAGUUUUAAGUAUUUAAAAUGAAACCAUUCAAGAACCCCUUGAAUAGCUGCAUCAAAGUCCUAACCUUAAGGAUUGUCUGAAUUCAAAUAAAAAAAACAAAGGGGCUGAGCUAAUAAGCUCUGGGUGAGUCUUAACUUAUAUAACAAACAAUAAUUUAAAACAUACAUUUUAGAGUAUAAUAGAAAAUAUAUAUAAGUAGUCCAAUUUCACAUAUGUCAAUAUGCAUGUUAAUGUCGAUGCAGAGUUUUAUAGAAAUGUUCGUACUCAACUUUGCUACACACCAUAAAACAAUUCCUCAAAAAUCAUCCAACUAAUAACACACAAAAAUUGUGAACAAACCGCUAGAUAUUGUAGAUUGUUAAACUAAGCUAAGAUUUUGAUAUAACAAAUAAAAAAUGUUUUUAAAUAUAAGCUAAAAUUAACAAAAUAAUUUUAAAAUUUGAAGUCUAAAAUAUAAAACUUCGAAAUAAUUCUAAAAUCAAGUGCAAAUGAUUUUAACCAAGUCAAAAUGAUUUUAACCAAGUUAAAAUCAUUUUAAAGUGAUUUUCAAACAACUCAAAUUUGCUCCAGGACAAAGGGUAUUGAUACCUUAUGGAUAGGAUUGAUAAUUUUGGAAAUAUCGAUACUCCUAGAAAAGUCGAGACCAAAAAGGCAUUCUGUUUUUAGAAACCCUAAAAGUCAUCGAUACUAUGUUUUCGGUAUCGAUACUUUUUGAAAAGGCAUAAUUACAAAAAAGCCCUCAACCUUAGGGGGCUUCUGGAUUUAUGCCCUUAACCUUUUUUUCUGAUUUUUGCAAUCAACAUAACGGAUUUUUCAGACAUCAACCUAGUUGAAGUGGUAAUCGUCAUGUAACUGUUAGUCAACAACCAGUUAAAAAAUUUGGUCUAUGUUGCGUUCCAGUUGAUUGAUGACGUGGCAGGCAUUUAAAUAAUAAUGUCGUGGAAAAAAUUAAACAAAUUUAAUGAACAUAAAAAAACCCUAAAUCCCCCAAAUAAUCUUAAACCCCCAAAUUUCAAACUUUUUUCCCAAAUUCCAAAAUCCUUAAAUCAUGAAAUCCCCCAAAUCCAUAACAUUUGAAAUCUUUAUUGAAUCCCUAAAAUCUUAAAAUCCCUAAAUCGUUAGCAUUUGAAAAUAUUCUUGAAAUCCCUAAAAAUUUUAUGAGACAAAUCAUUGAAUCCCUAAAACUUUUACGAACGAAAAAGCUUCAACAAUCGUGAGUAGUUUCUGUAACCCAAAAUUGAAAAGUAGGUGCUUUCUUAUUUGGUUUGUUGGGAAAAUAAAUUCCAUUUUUUGUUUGGUUUGUUGGUUAUUAGUGACUUAUUAUUGCAAUUUCAAUGCCACAAUGUAUGGUUUGUUUUGUCGAUUUGUGAUGCAAUUGCAGUAGCUUCCACGCCAACAAGAUACGGACAGCAAAGCCAAAGCAAUACUAAACAAGCGAGAAAAGCCCUAUAUAUUCUAUUAGUAAAGCCUAAACGUCCUUAUUGAAAACUAAAGCGCUAAAGAGGAAGAAAAGACCCCUUACUAUAGAUAGGCUAACGCGCCUUUACUAAUAUUAGAAUAGUUGGCGCUUCUUUCUCAAAGUCAAGUUUCUCGCUUGUUGUUUUAGAAAGAUUGCAAGGGCACUCACGUUUUUUGGCUCCUUCCCAGCCUGGAAGUUCGCUUCUAGCGACUAGCUUCUACUGCUAGCGCUUGGACUUGGAAGCAAGCUACAGCUACCUUGAAUCAAUUAAUGAAUGAAUAAAAAUGCCUGCCAAGGAAUAGAAAGGAAGGACAGGUU
rnacentral:lncRNA from 1 species